rnacentral:lncRNA from 1 species
UUGAAUAUCUCCCAAAAGAUGUCUGGUUUAGACACCUAUGAUCUUCCCAAAUCUCUUGAAACAAGGUUUCCUAAUGAAGAUGAUGUCCCAUGGAUAUCAUACUUCUUCACCUCUUCAAAUUAUUCUCCCUAACCCACAAGUUCUUGAAAAGUUUAAGGUCACUCAGGCCCUUUUGGCAAGGCAAGGUCUAGGUGUGGUCACAUCUUGGAGAUGUAGUCACAUAUUGACAAGCCGGGAGAGUUGGGUGUCAAAGUCUUGAGAAAGUUGGUGGUUCAACUACUUUCUAAGUCACAUAGUGAGUUCUUUUGGAACACCUAUGAAAAAGACUAUGACAAGACCCUUAAUGAUCUUAUCUAUUUGUUAAGAUCAACUUCCUAAAACUUUAUGGACAUUGACAAUGAUGACAUUGGAUAUCCAGUAAAGCAUUCUCUUCCCAAUGGAAAGGGAUCGGCUAUAGUCAACUCGGUUGACCAAAUGGUAAAGAGAAAAGCUAAGUCUGUGAUAGUCCUGUGUACCAUUAUCAAAGGGUCCAUAUGUUUGUAUUGCCAAAGAAAGGGCAUUGGUUGCGAAGCUGCCAAAUUUACCUAAGGAUGUUAAAGUCAAUAAGUUUGACUCUACUUCAGGUAAAAUCCACUAUCUAACUCUGUUAAGUUUCUAUUCUGAGAUUCUUGAUACAUGAUGUGACCGGGUCGCAUGGUGAUGGUUUAAGAAUCAAAGGAAAGUGAAGAAACUUAAAGGAAGAAUAUGCUGAAUCUGAUCGCAUAGAUGGAUUUCUAUCGCAUAGUUUGAAAAAUCGGAUUCUUGAGCUACUUCUUAGGAGUUAUGAGAUAUUGCUUAGGAAUAGAUAACAACAAGUUUUCAUAUGGAUUGUAAGGAUAGUUUUUCCGCAAAGUUUUAAAAUAAAAGGAAAUUUUUGAUUUUAUUUAUUUUAAAAUAUCCUUACAAUGGCAUCUGUGGAAAUUUUUGUUGCUUAUAAGAUUCCAUUAGUAGCAAGAGUGGAAGUAUGAAAUUGAUUCUUUCAUUUGUGGUAAUGUCUAAAUUUACCAAAUAAGGAAAGAUUCUCAUCACCCAAGUUUCAAUUGGACCGGAACUUGGAAUCAUGCAAGUUGUAUAGCAUGAUGAAUGAGAACUUUCAAGUUUUGGAAAAUUAAGACUAAUUACUUGUUCACAUGGAUGUGUGAGUCAAGUAAAGGACUUAGGGAUCGAGUACACAUUCUUGUGCACUGAUUAAGUCCACCACUAAAGAUCGAUAAGAAGAAUCAAAUAAGGCAGAAGGAUAAAAGUUUCUCAAAUCUGAAAAGAUGGGAGAGUACUUUAGUAUCAGUUUUGUGAUCAUCUUAAUGAUUAAGAAACCAUAUCAAAAUUAGUUCUCUAAGGAAAUCUUAGUGCAUUCUUAUGACUAAGAAGAGGAACUUGAAUUGUUGAAAUGGUUAAAUCAAGAAGAUGAGUCAUACUUCGUUCCAAUACAAGUCUUAGAGUCAUACUCCAAGAUUGUCAUUUGAGUGACAUGUCUUAAAGAAGGUUUAAAACACUUGUCAAAUGUAAGAGUAAAAGUUUUCUACUCUUGUACAUUUGAAAUUGGUAAGUUGUGAUGUUUUGGAUAAAACAAAGACCAACUUAGGCCAAUUGGGUAAAGUGUUUUUCUUGAUUAGAAUCCGCACUAUCUCUUGGAUGUUUGACAAGGGAGUCUUAUAUGUCAAGAGGACAGUGGGAGUCUUAAAGGUCUUGAAAGUCUCAAGAACUAAUCAAGAAUAAAACCUAAAGUUCUUCACUAGCACACAACUUGAGGUUCAUAACCUAUCGUGUUGACAUAUUCUGUGCCCAUUCCAGUUAAAGUUGGCUUUGCAUAUGAGUUCUUAGAGUUCUCAAUUUGUUGCACAACAACUUGGAAGCAAUGGUAGGCCCUUGAGCUGCCAGGUGGCAAGAAAUUAAGAUUGAGUUCAGUCCAUAUGAGUUUGGAUUUGUCAUUAUCCUUGUCUUGUGACUAUGGUUUUGACAAUUCACAUGGAUAAGAACACAUACACCAUUAAAUCUAAGUGUCAUAAGGUUUCUCUCCGAUUCAUGAAAAUGAUGGUGAGGAAACACUUUCACUAAGUAGAUUUUAGCUAGAUAGCAAUUGUGAUAUUUGCAUUCUCAAAGUCGUUAGUGGAGCGCGUGUGGUUAACCGGCACACUAAUUUGGACUUGUGAGAAGUGGCAAAAAGGUCUAAACAUUAUGAUUACGGCAUCCCUCUUCAUAAUUGUUUAGAUACACAAGUGUGCUAUCUAAGGGAAGGUGUAUGAUUUUGAUACAGCUUUAUCAAAACAAUCUAGCAUCAGAAAUCUGAACUUUGGUAAGAAAGUCAAUGAAGUAUUGAUUUCUAGAAGUCCAGCUGAUUUCUGAGUACAUGUCAAAGCUAGUGGGAGCAUAAGUGUUAUGCUAAUAAUCAUCAUGUUAGUGGGAGCAUGAUAAUUAUGAUAAGUAUUGCAAGUUAGCAAUGUUAAUUAUAGAAAACAAAAGUUUCAAUUGGGAAAAAGUUGUUUUGCUAUAAUUAAGGGAGAGGAAAUUAUACUUCAUCUCAAAUCUAUAAGCUUAGAUCGUGAGGUUUUAAUCAUUUAGUCAAGGAUAUAUAUGAAUUUCAUGUUGGAAUGGCUCAACAUAAGGAAAUUCUGUAUAUGGGUCCAUUAUUUGCGUUCUAAAAUUCGAUUAUGAUUACGGCAUCCCUUUUCAUAAUCUGAAUUAUGAGAACUUGGCAAAUUGAAAUGGAAAUAUUAUAGCAAAAGACUGGUUUAGUCUUUAUGUAAGACAUCAUGAAUCGUGUCCCAUAUGCUUCGGAUAUAGGAUCGAUUACAUGUGCUAUAUUCAUCCGUUCUAAAAUUUUCCAAAUGCCUGGGGCAUUAAGAAGGGAAAAGGUUUAGAACUGGAUAUGACUAAAAGGAUUAAACAAUUGUCGAGGACAAUCUAAGGUUUACCAAAGAUUGGUUGCUCAAGGACAGUUGGAAGUAUAGUGAUAAUUCUGGAAGGACCAUAUUGACAUAAUCUGUAAGGAGGCAACUCUUGUUCAGAAGUGAUAGUCAAAAUGGAAUCUGGAAAUGUUUCAAAGUUAGAAUUUUCAAUCUGUUUAAGAUUAGGAAACUUAAUGCAAGAAGGAUGUUUCCAAGGAGCUGAUCUCCUUUGGAAUACUCUGUAAUGAUUGUUGUCAAGUCUUUCUGACUUUGUGCAUAAUCAUUACAAGAGGAUCAAUGCAUAUAAGUUUAGAAUCUAACAGAUUUCAGUAAAUGGCAUGAAUUUGGAAUUCUUGCAUUUGCAGUAAGGAUUUGGGAGUGUGAAAAGAGAAUCAUUGAAGUUAUGUUCAAUUGAUCUAGUUCACAAAGUAAAGAUCAUAGACAAACAUAGUAUGCAUACUUGGUGUGUGGCAUGACUAGUGUUUAAGAAAACAUAGUGUACAUGCUUGGAGCAUGGGACAACUAUUGUUUUAAAUUCAAGAAUAAAGUUGAUAGCUGAAACAGUAUACAAUGAAUAAUGUGUAAUCAUAUGGUGAUAAAUAAAAGGUGUUUUAUUUAUGUUCAAAGUUUUGAUACCAUAUUGGAUUCAAUUAUUAUUGUGUUUCACUUUGCAUGUUUUGACUUCCCGAAUAAACUAGGUUAUUCUUCCGGAAUGACUAAGUUAUUCAAACCAUCCACAGUCGGUCAUAUGUUGGAAGUAGAUAUGAAUUAAGACUGUCAUGGGUUGGCUUGUAGAGGUCUAAGGUGUUGGACAAAGGGCUACAACACUCAUGAGUGCUCAUAAGUUCUGAGUAUUGGAUUCAACCCGCGCUCAUUGGAAUCACUUCAUGGAUUUUAUCACGAGUGAUCAUGAGACGAUAAUAUCUUAUAUUCUUCAAACCUAGAGAUAUGAGUUGUUACUAUGAGUUGAUAGUACAUUGAUUGCACGAAAACGCAUUUGGUAACUCGGUGCUAUAAAACGUGCCUUUGUGUAUGAUUCAACAAGUAGUAGAACAAGCCAUAUGAGUCGAAGUUUAUCCAUUCCUUUUACCUUCGGGAUAAAAGCGAUAUCUGUGGGCCCCUCGAUGAUUUGAUGAUGACAAAUGGAAGUGCUCGGCCGGGCCAGGACUGAUUUGAUUUGUUCAAUUAGUCAGUCGUCAUAAAUCGGAAAUCGGGAAACAACAAAUGGACAGAGAGAAUGAUUAUAAUCCAUGUCUCAGUCCAUAUGAUAUCUAGAAUGGAGGAAUAUAUGAUCCCUUAUCUAAUGGACAAGUCAUUGACAAAGGUCAGAGUUCAUCUACAAGGUCAGAGUUCGACAGAAGCUUUUGAGAGCUACGAUUGCCAGUUGGUUCCUGAAGUCAUACGCAAUAAUAGUUUUAGACUUAUCCAAGUGGGAGACUGUUGGAUUAAUGUCUAAGUCCAUAACUAUAAUUGGUAAGACUUGACCCGACCCGACAUGGUCCAUUUGGGUUGCAUGGCAUCAUGCACUUGGAUAGACUAUAAUGAGAGAAAUAAGACACUUAUGGUUAUUAAUAUAUUAUAAGUUCUAGUAUAUUAAUAAUAAGAAUAAUAAGAUUAUUUAAUUAGUAUUGAUCAAGAAUUAAUCUAGGAUUAAUUAAGUGAUCAAAAGAAGACUAAUUAAAUAUAUUGGUUGAUUGUGUAAAUCAUCCAUACUUGUAUAGUGGGCUAAUGCUCCAUGGAUAAUCAAGUUGGGCUAAAACCCAUAGGAUGGUCCAUGGUGUAUUUGAACCCAUGAAUCCAAGGAAAUGGAAAGUCAUGACAAUUAGGGUUUAACCUAAUUGUAACACUAUAUAAAGAUCUUAUUCUUGACAAAAUCGGCCACUAGAGUGAGUAAUAGAAGGGCUAGCCGAUUUCAUGAAGUGUAGAUUUCUCUCAAGUUAUUCCUAGUGUAUUUGGUGUUGUGUGAACCAUUUGAGGUGUCACACUUGGGGCACUAGGCACUCAAGCUUCAUGAAGGCUUUCUACAUCAAAGAGGUAUGUAUUCUAUCUUGUUACACUCAUUGUUUUGUAUGCUAGAUUAGGAUAAUACCUUGGAAGUUCUUAUUUGCAUGUACACUUAGGAGUGUUAGAAUGCUCAUAACCCAACAUAUAAUACAAGAGAAAGUACUAAUCCGAAGAUAACACACUAACUCAGUAUGAGAUACUCUAUUCGCUACACACUAGGCCCAGAGUUUUCCGACAGGAGAACGACGCUACAUGUAUAGAUCUAUACGGGGCAGACACUAUUACAUCCCGACUGUUAAUUUCAGUCCGAGCUGUGCAGGCCCAGGGAUGCCCUACUUCACUACAUUGUGCAUGACCGGGAAGGUCAUGGGGUCCUCUAUUAUUCACACUAUCGGUAGCAUACAAGGAAUACACUAUAACCACACUAAAAUACUAAACUAAAGGCUAAGUUAACAUCCCGAAGUAAACAAGUAUCUAACACUAAAGGAAGUUUGCACCUCUAUUACUGACUACAGGCAUAACCUAUUUUAAUACCUUACUUAUUGGAGAUUCUCUAAUAUACAUUUACACUAAACGAUUUUCAAAGAUGAAAAUUUCAUGUUUUCUUAAAGGUUUUCACUUACAAUGUAUUUCCUGGAAAAUAUAGGAUUUUCUAGGGUUUUCUACUACUUAUGAAUGUAAAAGCUUUUCAUACUAUCAGUUCUAAUGCCUUUUAUACAAAACUCACGCUAAACUCUUAUGAACUCACCAGCUUUAUGCUGAUAAUCUGUUUCAAAAUAACUUGUAUCCUCAGGUCAAAGAUAGACAGGUAUAGGUGCAGCAUUUUGGAGAAGGUGGGGCAUACAAGAUCCAUCUCUUAUUUUUGUAUUACUUUUGGUGUUUGUUGAACAUUACAAAACACACUUGUAAUUAAACUCACUAUGUAAUGCAAUGGUUGUAUGUUUCUUGUUUUUACUAUUAUGCAAUUGUGAUGAUACUGUACAUGACGUCCUCCACCCCGAAACGUAUUCUGCCGUUAUCAGUUUUGGGGUGUGACAAUAUGGUAUCAAGCCCACCUGUUGUCUUGGGUAGCUUGGUUAUGAAAUCCAUAGUAAUUCGCUCCCACUUCCAUUCAGGUAUCUCAGGUUGCUGAGAAGACCUGAUGGCUUCUAGUAUUCGACCUUGACCUUUGCGCAAGUAAGGCAUUUACUUACGAAGGUAGCAAUCUUUGUUUUCAUGUUAGGCCACCAGUAUGACUUUUUAAGAUCCAGAUACAUUUUAUCUAAUCCUAGGUGGACGGAGUAUCGAGUAUGGUGGGCUUCCUUCAUGACCAAGUCUCUGAAGCCACCGUGACGCGGUGUCCAGAUUCGGUCCAUAAGAUAUAAGGCUCCGUCACCCUUGACUUCCAAGUUCUUAUCCAUUCCUCGCAGGGAUUCUCCGGCCACAUUUUCAGGCUUCAACGCUUCGAGCUGAGCUUCCUUGAUCUGCGUGGGGAGAUGCGAAUGGAUAGUCAUCAUUAACGACUUGACUCUGCGACCAGAAUGUUCCUUCCGGCUUAGGGCGUCUGCUACUACAUUGGCUUUACCCAGAUGAUAACGAAUUUCGCAUUCGUAACCAUUAAGUAGCUCGACCCACCGUCAUUGUCUCAUAUUGAGCUCCUUCUGGUUGAAUAUGUGUUGUAGGCUUUUGUGCUCAGUGUAUAUCGUGCUCUUUGUUCCAUAUAGGUAAUGUCUCCAGAUCUUUAGAGCGAAUACAACCGCUCCUAACUCGAGGUCGUGCAUGGUGUAGUCAAUCUCAUGUGCCUUCAGUUGUCUUGAGGCAUAGGCGAUGACCUUACCUCGUUGCAUCAGGACACAACCGAGCCACCGGUUUGAUGCAUCGCAGUAUACCACGAAGUCUUAUGUCCCUUCGGGAAGGGAUAAUAUCGGUGCGGUGCAUAGGGCUCGCUUCAGGGUUUGGAAUGCCAUCUCCUGUGUCUCUCUCCAGUCAAAUGUCACGCCUUUCUGAGUCAAUGUGGUGAGAGGUUUCGCAAUCCGAGAGAAGUUCUAAAUGAAUCUGCAGUAGUAGCCAGCGAGGCCUAGAAAUUGACGAAUUUCUGUAGGCGUCUUUGGUGCUGACCAGUUCUCGAUAGCUUUAAUCUUGGAUGGAUCCACGUGGAUUCCUUCCUCGCUAACCACGUGUCCUAAGAAUUCCACUCUUCGGAUCCAAAAUUCGCACUUAGAGAACUUUGCAUAUAACUUCUCUAAUCGUAGGGUUUCUAGGACUUGCUGUAAGUGAUCGCUAUGCUUCUCCUUGCUUCGAGAGUAGAUGAGUAUGUCAUCAAUGAAGACAAUGACGAAUUGAUCUAAGUAAGGACGACACACCCUAUUCAUUAAAUCAAUGAAUACUGCGGGCGCGUUGGUCAAUCCGAACGACAUUUCUACAAACUCGUAGUGUCCGUAAAAAGUUCAGAAGGUUGUUUUCAGAACAUCUUCCUCAAGCAAUCGUAACUGGUGGUACCCGGACCUAAGAUCAAUCUUGGAAAAGUAACUCGCCCCUUGCAGUUGGUUAAAUAGGNAUUCAUUAAAUCAAUGAAUACUGCGGGCGCGUUGGUCAAUCCGAACGACAUUUCUACAAACUCGUAGUGUCCGUAAAAAGUUCAGAAGGUUGUUUUCAGAACAUCUUCCUCAAGCAAUCGUAACUGGUGGUACCCGGACCUAAGAUCAAUCUUGGAAAAGUAACUCGCCCCUUGCAGUUGGUUGAAUAGGUCGUCUAUACGGGGAAGAGGGUAGCGAUUUUUGACCGUCAGCUUGUUGAGUUCUCUAUAAUCGAUGCACAUACGGAAUGAUCCAUCCUUCUUCUUUAUGAACAAGACCGGUGCUCCCCAGGGUGAGAAUCUUGGUCUUAUAAAGCCCUUGCUGAGCGGCUCAUUAAGUUGACCAGACAAUUCUUGCAUCUCAGCAGGCGCUAGACGAUAGGGCAAUUUAGCUACGGGGGUAGCCCCUGGGAUUAGGUCGAUUCUGAACUCAACUUGAUGUUUGGGAGGUAAACCUGGGAGCUCCUCUGGAAAGACGUCGGGGAAAUCGCAUACGACGGGGAAGUCUUUUAGAUCUUUUGUUUUCUGGAUCAUGUCAACGACGUGUGCAAGGAACGCGCGAUAUUCCUUACGUAAGUACUUCUGGGCUUGAAUACUUGAGAUGAUACGAAGGCUCGUACUGGGUUUGUCUCCGUAGAUUAAUAGGGUUUCGCUAUUUGGUAGAUUUAGGCGGAUGGCUUUGUCGAAGCGUAGGAUAUCAGCGCGAUGGAGACUCAACCAGCCCAUGCCAACAAUGACAUCGAAACUCUUGAUCGAAACUGGUAUGAGGUCGAUUGGGAAUGAAUGAUCAUCUAACGUGAGGGUACAACCUAUGUAAAUUUCGUUAGAGCUUUCUGUCUUCCCGUUAGCCAUUUCUACGACGAAUGUUUCUUUUACUGGUUGUGGGGAUUGCUUAAGUGUUUAAAAUUUUGGUUUAUGAAGCUUCUUUCUGCACCACUAUCGAAUAAGACACAAGCAUAAGAGUUGUUGAGAAGGAACGUACCCGUGACUACUGCGGGGUCCGCCACCGCUUCAUUGUGGCCAAUAGUGAGUAGUCUUCAUGUUCCUCCCGUAUUCCUGGCCUUCGGACAGUUUUUCUUGAAAUGACCUACCUCUCCAUAGCCAUAACAGGCCUGGCUCACUCCCGAGCUGGGGACUUGAGAGAUAGGUUUAGGUUGGGAUCUGCAAAACCGGACGGUAUGGCCCUUCCGGUCGCAGUUGGUGCAGUGCAAUUCACGGCAGCGGCCGUUGUGAUGGAAGGGGCACUUGGGACACUUGGGCAGGUUUCGAACAUAGGUUUUUGUUGGUACCGGGGUAGCAGGAGUGGUGGCAGCAUGGACAGCCACGAUUUGUUGGUCUUUGGAGGGGGUUUGACUUUUCUUGCCCUUCUUCUGAUUCCAGCGCUUCCUCUUUUUUUCAGUUGAUUUGGGUGGUGCAGUGGUAGUCGUCGUGGUUGUUGAUGGGGUGGAAGGGUCUUCAUGAUCAAUCAACCUUUGGGCCAAUUCCUUGGUGUUGUCAAAGGUGCAGGGCGUGAGGCUAGAACGUUUCCUCGAUAUGGGGGCAUUAAACCCCAAAUGUUUCAUUCAAUCUUCUUACUCUCCGAAGGGAUCAUGUUAGGACACAUAGCUGCCAGGUCGCAGAACCUGGCUGUAUAAGUUGUUAUGUCGGUCCCUUUCAUCUUGAGGUUCCAAAGUUCCUCCUCAAGCUUUUGAAUUUCACCCCUAGGGCAGUACUCCCUUCUCAAAAGGUCCUUCAGCGUGUCCCAACCCAUGGUGUUGGUUGUUACUAAAGUGAGUGAAUUGACAUGGCCGUUGCACCAUGUCAGAGCCCUUUCGGUGAAGGUGGCAGCAGCGAACUUUAUUUUGCUCUCCUCGGGGCAUGAGCACAUUUCAAAGACUGCUUCCGUUCUUUCGAACCACUGAGACAAUGCAAGUAUUCUUCCGGUCCGAUUGAAGAAAGUGGGUUUACAGUUCAUGAAGUCCUUAUAAGUACACCCCUGUGCACGUGGAUGGAUUUCACCAUGUUUGGAGUUGGUGCCCAUUCCGGCUCCACUAGCAUCGCCAGAAUUCAUUUGGGCCAUGGCUGCUAUCACAGUUGUUUGAAACAACACUGGAUCGAACUGCAGAGGAGGUGGAGGUUGAGCCGCAGGUCUGCCUCUGCUCGGACGCUUAUGGGGAGGCAUCUUUUACUGAAAGUUCAUAGAGAUGAUGACAAUAGUAAGAGUCUAUUAUAAGUAUGAUAAGAGUGUUUCAUGGACUAAAUCAACAUAGCCCAAAAAUCAGAGAGUGUCAUAGCAACAGAGUAGUUCACUGCCAAUUUUACUGGUAUUAAUGAUGUAAUAUAAGUUCGAGAAAAGUGACCUAACAGUAGGUCUUAGAUCAAACCAUAAGGGAAAAUGUUGGCAGUCUAGAGGCCUAAUUAGAGUACUUUCAAAGUUAGAAAUAUUUACAGACAAGUUCUCGGCCAAGCAUAGAGAGGAAAAAGGCUAGUCCUUAAACAAAAGAUGGAGAAAAGUGGACAUCUUCUACUGGCGACGGGUAUCCCUUGGGCGAACCCUAAGAUCAGCCAGUUGGCGCACAACUUCUUGAAGAUGUCUUUCUUGUGCUCUCUGACGCGCCCGGAGUUCCAUGACUUCGGCUCGGGAUACAGCUAGCUGUUGCUGCAGAGUCUCAUUGGUCCUUCUCGUCCUAUCCAUAGCUUCUUCCAGUUGGCGGAUGCGAACAGUGUUGAGGUUAGAGUUGGCAUCAACUUCCACAACUCGGCCAAUAGCUGCUUGACCUUGCUCAACGUUCCUGGCAAUCCUUCAGACCAUGAUGGGCAAGACUCAGUCUGCUGAACCUCCCUCGCUUAUGUUGUAGAAGCUUCGGUCUCCAUUGAAAGGUAAAGGCUGACCCUGCUCAUCGCUCCAUUGGUUCAAGGUUAUUGCCAACAUGGGGGUGGGACCUUGUAAUGCCGGACGGGGGUUAGGGUUUGGAGCUACUGGGGGCAGGUUGUUGACUUCUAGCUCGGAGUCGGAGCUAUCCGAAAAGCCUUCAACACGGUGAUCAUCCAACAGGAUCGGGUGAUCAUCUUCUGAUUCCUCAUCGAGCCAUCCUCCAUUGCCUUGGUUCGGAUAAUACGGAUCGCUGGGAAGGUGGAAGCCAGCCAUGCUAUCUACGCGAGAAUGGGGAAAGGAAGGUUAAUAGACGUACUAAUCUAAGAUACUUAUAAGAUGAUCGUUAUUAGUCGACCCAAUACUUGCAUAGUGCAUACCAAUUACAUGUAACCGAAGCAAGAUAGUCCUUCGAAUAAGCGACCCUAACUCCAGAUCCCCAAUCAAACAAGAACAGGAAAUGAAGCAAAGGUCACAGAUUCUAAGUCUAUAGCGCCCUAGUCACAUGUAACCAUGGUGUAUGCACUUAGAAACUAUUGCCCUACUAGUAACGACCCUUUUUGUUAUCACAAAUGUAGUUAGUAGAAUACAGAAUACUCCUAUAGUAUUCUUGUUCUAAUGUUCUGGUGGUAGUGGUGUAAGUUUCUAGAGUUGUUGCAACACCACAACCACUCUUAGGCACAUGCUAGUCACUCCUAGAAAGAUGUAGUUGACCAGGCUACAUCCACCCAGAUACGACUAUAUGUCUCUAAGCUUAAUCGUGUUGUUCAACAAUCUUAAUACUUUUGUUAUGUUCUAGUAUAAUACUGACCCUUUGUAUUUGUGAAUAUAUAUAUAUAUAUAUAUAUAUAUAUAUAUAUAUANAUAUUUUAGUAUUUAAAAGUAUAUAUUCUUGGUUAGAGUGUUUUAGUCCCGAAGUGUUUAUAGUUCGUAUAUCUUUUAUGGGUUGAUAUACUUGAUUCACUAUAAACAAUGCUCUGAUACCAAUCUGUCACACCCCAAAACCGAGAACGGCGGAAUACGUUCUGGGGUGGAGGACGUCAUAUACAGUAUUAUAACAAUUGCAUAAUAGUAAAAACAAGCGACAACAACCAUUGUAUUAAAUAUAGUAAAUUUAAUUACAAGCAUGUUCUGUAUAUUUUUGAUAGACACCAAAAGUAUAAAAAAAUAAAAGAUGAGUCUUGUAUACGCUCCAUCUUCUCAAAAGCUGCACCAGUACCUGUCUAUAUUUGACCUGAGGAUAAAAGUUAUUUUGAAAACGUGUAUCAACAUAAAGCUAGUGAGUUCAUAAGAAUUUAGUGCGUUGCUUGUAUAAAAGUGUUUACAAUCAUGUAAUAUGAAAGCUGUAAUUAAUGUUUAAGAAUAAUAGAAAUCUCUAGAAAAUCCUAUUUUUUCCAAAAUUGAGCAUUUGUAAGUUAAAUCCUUCGAGUGUGUAAAAGUAUUUCCAUUGAAACCUUCAGUUAUAAAAAUAAGGUAAUAAAUUUCAUUCAAGUAUCGUAAAUAAGGAAAAGCAUUGCCGGUUGGCUGUAGUAGUGUUGCAAACUUCAAUAGUAAUAUUGUUUAUUUANUUUACUUCGGGAAGUUAGCUCAGACUUUAAGUCUUAGUGUGUUAAUUUGGAUAUGGAUGUGAUCUCUCAUGUAACCAAACUGAAUGAUAAUAGAGGGUCCGAUUACCUUCCCGGUCAUACGUAGUGUAGCGAUGUAGUGCCAUCCCUGGGCCUAGUCGGCUCGGGCUGUAGUUAACAGUCGGGAUGUAAUAGCAACCGUCCUGUAUAGAUCUAUACAUGUAGUGUUGCUUUCCUUUCGGGAAGCUCUGGUUACAUGGUAUUUGCGUACUAGUGUGCCGUAUAGAGGGAUAGUGUGUUAUAUUCUGGAUUAGUGUAUUCUCUGGUAUUAUAGUAUAGUAACUUUUAGUAUAGUGUAUAGAGUUUACUCUUUAACAUGCAUUAACUUGUAGUAGUAGUAUUUAUAGUGGAUAUCAUAGUAAUAGAGGUAACGAGCAGUAGUCUUAACUAUACCUAUUAGAGUUAAAUAGUGUGUGGGAUUGCAAGCCUUUGAUUCACAAAGGUAUUAAAUAAGAUGAAGACUUUCAUAUCUAACACAAAUAUAUAUGAUAUAUAACUAAGAAUUCAACGACAGUCGGACGGAUAGCAGAAUACCCUAAGACCAUAAUCAAACAAGAACAGGAAAUAAGGCGAGUUAUCGGUCCUAAGUCCUUCAAGUCUUACUUAUAUAAAUAUAUUGGUGUAGAUAUAGUUUAAAAGAAAAGUAAUUUAAAAGCAGUUUGAAAAUAAUUUGAUGACAAUUUAACAUAGAAAAUGCGUUUGAUGGUGAUUUAAAACAGUUUUAUUGACAAGUAGCCAAAAGUAAUAAAAAUCCUUUUUGGUUUCAAGUUAUAAAUCACAUAUGAUUUGAUACUAAAACUUGUUGCAUUUAACUUGUAUCCCCCCACCUAAAACAUGUAAAAACAUUUAAAAAGGUUAAUAAGGGGUAUNGGUAUGAACUCACUUGUAGCGAGUAGAUCGGGUGGAAGUGUCGGAUGAGCGUUUGGUGUCAAGUAAAGACUUGAACACACUCUACGACCCUAGCAACAUAUGAAGACAUAUGUUUACAAGUAAUUAGUGAUUAAGACACUAAUUAAACACAUAUAGACUUCCUAAUGCGAAGAAUAACUCUUUGCUCAAGUGCUAGGAGGCUAUUAGGUUGCAGUGGAAGAGUAUAAGGCCUCACCAUGGAGUUUACUCUUCUAAUACUCACCUUAGGUGAGUUUACGGCUGAGGGACCAUUUCCCCCAUGAGUUUACAGCUGUAAACGCAUGGGAGGAGUGGGUUUGAGUGCUUAAAGGUUUCUUAUAUCACUAGGGAUAGUUCUAGGGCUUAAUCCGAGGAUUGAAGGGGUGUUUAGGGUUAAAAGAGGGCACUCCCUUGGAGUUUGCAGUCCUAGGACCACUCCUUGGGAGUUUACGGUCGUGAACCCCAUGGUUUACGGCCGUGAACUCUUUGAUACCCCUCAUACUUCGAUUUUGAGGUCCUUAGCUCAUUCCUAAAAGUUUUUAAGUGAAGGUCCAAGGCUAAAUAGGGGGGUUUAGGGCUUAAUUUGCAUAGUUUGAGGGAGUUUACGGCCUAAGAAUGUUCUUGGGCCGUAAAACCUCUUUCAAGCCUCCAAACUUGGUGAUUAAUGUCUAGAACACUUCAAGAUUAAGUUCUAAGCUAGUUUCUAAGCCUAAGGAAGAGAUUUGGGGCAUUUUUGGCACACUUUUAGGGGUUUACGGCCUAAGAGUGUUCUUGGGCCGUAAACUCCUUAUUCUUGGCCUUCUUGAACGAUUUUCAAGGUAUAUCGACAUGUAAUGAGUUUUAGAACAAUCUAGGGUGAGAGAACUUACAGUUUGGAAGCGGAAACUUGCGGUUUUUGGAUGGAUCGGGCCUUGAGGAGAGAGACUAGAGAGAGAGUGUGUGACUAGGGUGGUAAAAGGUCCAAAUGAUGUCUACUCACCCUUAUAUAGGGGUUGGGUUUGUGGCCAUGUGGGAAUCUACCCGAUAUUGAAAUUAAACGGGGUUUAAAGUUCUACCCAACUAAAUGGCCGUAACACGGCUUAGUCGUAAACUAAAAUUUUCUCAAAUAAAUCCGAGGUGUUACGUGUGUUUUUAUUUCGUUUCAAUAAAGUAAAAACAUUAAUUUAUAUUUCUAACCCAAAUAUUAACAGAAAUAAUAACAAUAAAUAUUAUUUUAUUAGCGUAACUGGGUUACAACGAACGGAAUAAAUUUCGGGUUGUCACAAUAGCUCACAAUAAAUGUUAAUAGACAAAUGGCUUUGUUUAUAUACUUUAAAAUACAUGUUUGUGAUGUUUAUUCUUUAUUGUUAUAAAAUGUUGUAUGUAUAUAAAUGUGUUUUCCAUGCUACAAACAUUUCACAAAAAUAACAUCAAGCAUGGGGUUUAGAGUUUUAAAUAAAAGUUUCAAACAUAAGAUGUCAGAAAUUGAGUUUUUGUUAAAAAGAGUUUUAAUUUUUUAGAACUUUUAAAUUGCCAAAAUUUUAAAUAUAUAAAAAUUUUUAAAAUGAUUUUUAAACUUAAUCCAAACUCCAAAACUCUAUAAUAAAAAGUUGUUUUAUUAAAAUGAUAAAAACCGGUUCCUAUCGUUAUAACAUCGAAUUAAAACUCAAUAUAAAAUUUAACCGGUAAAAUUGAAUGUAAAAUAAAUUCAACUUUAUAAAUUUGGGAACACUUUAAAUGUAUCAUGUAAUAUUUUAUGUGUGAAAUAUUGAUGAUACAAAAAGUUUUAAAACGCUAGAAUAUUAAUAUCGAUAAAAGCCCUUAUUUGAAAACUUCAAAUUUUUGCAUAUAUUGACUAUGUUAAAAUUCACUACGAGUCCUAAACACGAUCCAUAUAAUAUAUAUGUAUACUUAUUAAUGAAUAUAAUCAUAAGAAUGAUAGGGAAUCGAACUAAUUUGCAAGUCCUAAACACGGCCAGCUGGGUGUUCACGACCCAAGAACACUUGGUGUUCUUGAGUUUACGGCCCAAGUUGGGUGUUCACGGCCCAAGAACAGCUUGGUGCUCUUGAGUUAAUGGCCCAACAAUCUUGAUGAAUGAUGAAAACUUAAAGAUCCUAAGCAAGUUCCCUUGAAGAUUAAGGGAAGAAGGAUGAAAUUUGAGAGGGAAUUGAGAGUUUUCGGUUGAAGAUCUAGAGAGAAAAGAGUGUGUUUACGGUCAAAGAUGAAUAAAUGAGGAUAAAAUUAGUCUAAAUCAUAUAUAUAGGGAGGAGUGUGUGGCUCGAAGAGUUCACGGUCGAAAGAGUUCACGGACCGAAGAGUUCAGCGCCCGAAGAGGGUUCACGGCCUGAAGUCGUUUGCCGCCGAGUGUGCAGUUGCGAGGUUUGCGGUUCGGGCAAAGGUUCUCGGUUCCUAAGGUUUUCCCUCCUUAACACAUUACACUCUGAAUACAAAGUCCAUUCAUCUAUAACUUUUUAAUCUAACUAUUUUUAGGUAAUUAAAGAAAUAGAUUUGACAUUUGAUUGAUAUGUUUUGACUUUCGUUGACUAAGAUUGACUUUUACAAGAAUACAAUUUUCGGGUUGUCACAUAUUAUUCUAUCACUCUGCUCAUUUUAAUGGAUAAUAGUAACGUAUUAUGACGUUACUCUGCUCAAUAUUAAUGGAUAAUAGUAAAAUAUUAUGAUGUUUAAAUAUAAAGGGUACUAACUACAAGAUGAAUUCGGGCGUAACACUAACUCUACGGUAACGUCUAAGAGGUAAGGAUUCGUCAAUCGGUUCAAGCAGAGUUUCCUCCUCAGGUUGAGCUCCAGUGUUAGAGGUUCCUUCAUCGCUCGACUCUUGAAUCUCUUCAAGAUCAAUUCGCCUCCCACUUUCCCCUUGGCUUCUAAGUUCUCGCUCUCGGAAAACCCCUUUCCUCGCAACAAUGACAACAUUGUCAUUCGGUCUAUAGAAAAGAUAUCCAAAGGACUUCUGCGGGUAGCCGAUGGAAAUACAUCCCUCACUAUGAGGUUCGAGCUAGUGGUGAGUCUCUCAUCUUACAAAAGCCUCGCAACCCCAAACCUUGAUGUGUACCAACGAGGGAUUUUGUAAUACGAAAGAUAAGGAGUUCGUGAGUGGAUGUGGUUGAACCUAGAUGUAUUUCGAUCGUUCAUGUAAAGAAUAGAAGUAUGUUCUCGAGGGUUCGAACUACAUCCCUAUCAUGCAAUCCUAUUAAAGAGUAGAAGUAUGUUCGUAGAAUGAUCUCAAAACGUUUGUCAUCCAAACCGGGGGUACCAUUGGUUGGUGAAUAACAUGAUCCAACCUUUGAAAGCAAAUUGGGAAUGAUCCCUGAGCUAUAUUACCCUAGUCCAAUAACUUGACUAGAGUGGGUUUCAAAUAGACUCCAACGAUAGUAUGAUGAAAGUAUAUGAACAAAGAAUUCCACAGAAGUUAGCCGACUGUCAAUAUCAUUGAUACUCAUGACGUAAUAAGUUUGGGAAAAAAUGACCUUGGAGUAGGUCUUACAUCAUAUCCAGGGUAGAAAAGUUUUGGCCGCAUAAAGGCCUAACUAAAAGUACCUACAGUACAAGAUAGUUACAUAGAAAUAUGCCACAUAGGACAUAGUCAGGAAACGAUCCUUUGAAACAAAGGAAGAAAGUAAAGCAUCUCCUACUGGUGAUGGUCACCCCUAUGGUGAACCCUUAGUUCAACUAGUUGACAUUCCAUAUCAAGCAAGUGUCUUUCGUACACCCUCUAGCGUACUCGGAGCUCUAUGACUUCGGCUCAUGCUUCAUCUAGCGCUUGUAGUAGGGUCUCAUGGUCUCUAUCAGAUCUUUCAUGAGUGCGUUCAAGGCGAUUGGUGCGGAUGGUAUGCAUUAUUUCAUUGGCAUCAAACUCUGCGAUACGAUGGAGAGCUAUCCUGUCCUGAAUCUCAUUUCGGGAUACUCUACAGACCAGAACUGGUAGAAUUCUAUCUGCUGAGCUUCCUUCGCUUAUGUUGUAGAAGCUUCGGUCUCCAUUAAAUGACAUAGGUUGAUCUUGCUCUUCGCUCCAUGUCUCCAAACAUGCUACCCAAGGAGGCGUCGGACCAAGAAAAGUCGGAAGAGGGUUAGGAUUUGGAAUGGGAGCUUCCGGGGGUAGGUUCUCAACUUCAGGUUCGAAGUUAGCAUCAUCUGAAAGGUCUUUAGCAUGGUGAUCAUUCAAAGGGAUUGGAUGAUCAUCCUCUGGUUCUUCUCCAAACCAUCCAGCAUUGCCUUCGUUCAGAGGUACGGGUCGUUGUAGGGAUGGAGUCCACCCAUGUUAUCUACGCGAGAAUUGGGAUGAGGAAAUAAUUAUUAGUCAAACUAACUAAAUAAUUAUUAGAUAAUCUUCGUUAGUUACCUCCCUACUUGUAAAUUGCAUACCAGUUAUAUGUAAUCAAAACAGGAUAGGUUUUCGAAUAAGUGACCUUAACUCCAAAUUCACAAGGAACAGGGGUAAAACAAAAAUUCACAGAUUCUAAGUCUAUGACAUCCUAGUUACAUAUAACCUUAUUGUAUCCACUUAGCAACUGUUGACCUCAUAAUGAAGAUCUUUUUAGUUCUCAAGUAAGUAAUUAUAGUAACACAAAAUACUCCUAUAGUAUCUUAGACUUAUGUUAUGUUCUAAUGUUCUCAUUGUGGUAGUGUUGGUAAGUUUUAGACUUGUUGCCACAUCACAACCAUUCUUGGGCGUACGCUAAUUACUCCUCGGACCAGCAUAGUUGAUCAGGCUAUGCCACUCCCAAGACUGACCAUACAUCCACGAGCUUACUUGUGAUAUUCAAAAAUCGUAAUACUUUUGGUCUUGUCAUUGUGACACUGAUUUUAGUAUGAAUGCAAGUAUGUAUACUUAGUUAAAUAUUUUAUUAUUUAAAAGUAUAUACUCUUGGUCAGAGUAUUUUAAUCCCAUUGUAUUUAUAGUUAGUAUAUCUUUUAUGGGUUGAUAUACUUAAUUCACUAUAAACAAUGCUCUGAUACCAAUCUGUCACACCCCAAAACCAAGAACGACGGAAACGUUCUGGGGCGGACGACGUCAUGUAAAGUAUCACAACAAUGCAAAGUAGUAAACAAGCAACAACAUCAUCCAUUUCAUUAAUAGUAUAAUUUUAAUUACAAGUGUGUUCUUUCAUAGUAUAAAACAACAUAAUGAAUAAUCAAAAUAAAAGUCGGGUCUUGAAUUCUCAUGCCCAAGGGGUCCUUAUAUAAGUGUAGGAAUUAGGGUUUCAAUCAUUAUCGUUAACUGGUUACUUAGCCACCAAGCAGCCCAUAAGAUAACUCUAUAAUCCCCUUUAUGGACGAAUUCUUAAGGCCUUAUCCUUAGAAUUUGUCCACUCUAUCAUUUAGGGUUUCCUUGCUUAACCUUGUAACUAUCACAUAAUUACAAUUCAGUCCCCCUAGUUCAAUUACCUUCUUUUGAUCACAAAAUUAAUUCUUAAUUAAUUCUUGACCAAUGUUAGCUAAAUAAAUAUGAUUUCUCUUUUAAUAUAUUAUUCUUAUAAAAUAUUAAUAAAACAUAAUAACCUCUUUCUCUAUUAUUCAUCCAGUCAAGUGGCUUUGGUGAAGGUAACUUAAAAGGACCAUGCACAAUCGGGUCAAGUACAUACCAUAUAUAGUUAUGGACUUAGACACUAAUCCAACAGUCUCCCACUUGGAUAAGUCUAAUAACUACAAAUGCGAAUGUAACUUCUGGAUCCGAUUAGCAAUCGCAGUUCUCAAAACUCUUGAUCUUAUCAAUAACAUGUCCUUUAGAUAAUGGAUCGUAUGGUCCUCCGUUCUAGAUAUUGUGUGGACAAUUACAUGGAACAUAGUCAUACUUAUUGUCCACCAGUUUGUUUCUCGAUCUCUGAUUCGUCUUACAUAGAACUUAAUUGAACAUAUCAAUUCAGUCCUGACCAGGCCCGACAUAUAAGUCAAACUAAAUCAUCGAGGGCCCCAGAUAUCGCUUUUACCCUCUUAGGAUAAAAGGAACAGAUAAAGUUUGACUUAUAUGCAUUACCAUUCACUCAUCAAAUCAUACACAACAAUGCGUUUUAUAACAUCAAGUUACUGAUGCGUUUACGCAUUAUCAAUGCACAACCAAGUUGCAAAUAACAAACCAUAUAUCUAGGUUUUAAGACUAUAUAAUAUUAUCGUCUUGCGAUCUCUCGUGAUAAAUUCCAUGAAGUGAUACCAACAAGCGCAGGUCUAAUCCAAUGCUCAAAUCGUAUUCAUAAGCACUCGCGAACGUUGCAACAAACCUUUGCUAUGUCUAAUACACUUUAGACAAUCUACAAAGCAAUUCAUGACAAUAUUCUUUCAUACCUACUCCCAAAGUAUGAGCGACUGUGGAACGUUCUAAUAAUCUUAUUAUUCAGGAAGUCAAAACAUGCAAAUUGAAACAACAGGUAAACAAUUAACAUAAGACAGUAACUUUACUUAUAAAUAAUACUCCUUUAUUUAGUCAUCAAAUGUCAAUUACAUUUAUCUAUUACACGUUUCGAAGCUAUUUAAUCUAAACUAAUAUUGUCCUUCAGCCCGAUGCUCCUAGCGUGCUGCAAGUGCUUAACCCUAAUCAAUCCUUUCGUAAGGGGAUUUGUUGGGUUAUCCUCCGAUGAUACCCUCUUCACUACAAGGAGUCCUUCUUCCACCUGAUGUCGAAUAAAAUGAUAUAUCCUGUCGAUAUAUUGAGAUCUGCCAUGAUCCCUCGGUUCCUUGGUCAAGGUAACCGCUCCUUCAUUAUCACAGAAAAUUUCCAUAGGCUCCUUUAUAGUUGGCACAACUCCAAGGUAUCUGAUGAAGUUCUUCAACCAUAUCGCCACCUUUGACGCUUCACUCCCCGCUAUAUACUAUGAUUCGCAUGUUGAAUAAGCUAUAGUUUCUUGCUUGGAACUUUUCCAAGUCACUUCUCCUCCAUUUAGGGUAAAGACCUAGCCCGAUUGUGAACGGUAGUUGUCCCUGUCGGUCUGAAAAUUGUCGUCACUAUACCCUAGCACCCUUAAUUCAUCACUCCCACCGAGGACUAGAAACCAUUCCUUGGUCCUUUGAAGGUACUUAAGAAUAUUCUUGACUACGAUCCAUUGUGCUUUGCCAGGGUUCCCUUGAUAUCUACUGACCAUGCUCAAAGCAAAGGCAACAUCAGGGCUAUUACAAGUCAUAGCAUACAUGAUCGAGCCAACUGCAGAAGCGUAAGGUACUCAACUCAUCUCUACUAUCUCUACUUCGGUACUCGGACUUUGAAUCUUACUCAACUUGGCAUUACUUUGGAUUGGUAACCCCCCUUCUUAGAAUUAUCCAUACUAAAACGCUUUAGUACCUUGUCCAAGUAAGUAUUCUGACGAAGUCCUCUUAGUCUUUUACUUAUGUUUCUCACUAUCCAUAUUCCCAAAAUAUAGGCAGCCUCUCCGAGGUCCUUCAUAGUGAAACACUUCCCAAGCCAGGACUUGACUUCCUGCAGUGUUGGGAUGUCGUUUCCUAUGAGUAGUAUGUCAUCGACAUAUAAUACGAGGAAGCUAACAGUACUCCCACUGGCUUUGACAUAUACACAUGAUUCAUCCUUGCUUCGUAGAAAACCAAACUCUUUAACUUUCUCAUCGAAACAAAGAUUCCAUCUGCGAGAUGCUUGUUUCAAUCCAUAAAUGGACUUCUCAAGCUUACACACUCUAUUAGGAUGCUUUGCAUCGACAAAACCCUCUGGAUGACUCAUGUAAACAUCCUCAGCCAACUUCCCAUUAAGGAAAGUGGUUUUGACAUCCAUCUGCCAUAUCUCAUAAUCAUGAAAUGCAGCGAUGGCUAGCAUCACCCUAAUAGACGUUAUCUUCACAACCGAUGAGAAGGUCUCAUCAUAGUCAACUCCGGGAGUUUGAGUAAAGCCCUUCGCAACCAAUCGUGCCUUAUAGGUGUGUACGUUCCCAUCCAUGUCUGUUUUCUUCUUAAAUAUCCAUUUGCACCUGAUCGUCUUACGACCUAGCACAUUGUCAACCAAAUUCCAAACUUGGUUGUCAUACAUGGACUGAAUCUCGUUGUCCAUAGCCUCUAUCCAUUUUGUAGACUCCGGGACCGCUAUGGCUUCCUUGUAGCUAUUAGGUUCAUCCAAAUUUAUUAGUGUACUAUCACUAAUAAAUGUAUCACCCUCACUCAUUAUAUGAAACCCAUACAAUACGGGCGGAACACUAACUUUACUGUAACGUCUAAGAGGUAAGGAUUCGUCAAUCGGUUCAAGCAGAGUUUCCUCCUCGGGUUGAGCACCAGUGUUAGAGGCUCCUUCAUCGCUCGACUCUUGAAUCUCUUCAAGAUCAACUCGCCUCCCACUUUCCCCUUGGCUUCUGAGUUCUCGCUCUCGGAAAACCCCUUUCCUCGCAACAAUGACAACAUUGUCAUUCGGUCUAUAGAAAAGAUAUCCAAAGGACUUCUGCGGGUAGCCGAUGGAAAUACAUCCCUCACUAUGAGGUUCGAGCUAGUGGUGAGUCUCUCGUCUUACAAAAGCCUCGCAACCCCAAACCUAGAUGUGUACCAACGAGGGAUUUUGUAAUACGAAAGAUAAGGAGUUCGUGAGUGGAUGUGGUUGAACCUAGAUGUAUUUCGAUCAUUCAUGUAAAGAAUAGAAGUAUGUUCUCGAGGGUUCGACCUACAUCCCUAUCAUGCAAUCCUAUUAAAGAGUAGAAUUAUGUUCGUAGAAUGAUCUCAAAACGUUUGUCGUCCAAACCGGGGGUACCAUGGGUUGGUGAAUAACACGAUCCAACCUUUGAAAGCAGAUUGGGAAUGAUCCCUGAGCUAUAUUACCCUAGUCCAAUAACUUGACUAGAGUGGAUUUCAGAUAGACUCCAACGAUAGUAUGAUGAAAGUAUAUGAACAAAUAAUGCCACAGAAGUUAGCCGACUGUCAAUAUCAUUGAUACUCAUGACGUAAUAAGUUUGGGAAAAGAUGACCUNUACCAUCAUCUUCUCAGUUCCGAGAGACCUUGAAAGAGCUACGAUUGCCGGUCGGUUCCUGAAGUACUAGAGAUAUAGUUAUUAGACUUAUCCAAGUGGGAGACUGUUGGAUAAGGUGUCUAAGUCCAUAACUAUUUCGGGCUAGUACUUGACCCGACCCGGCAUGGUCCAUUUGGGUUGCAUGGCACCAUGCAAUUGGAUAGACUAAAUGAGAGAAAUAACACUUGGAGAUUAUUAAUAUAUUAUAAGUUCUAAUAUAUUAAUAAUAAUAUUUGAUUAGUUUGAUCAAUAAUUAAUUUAGAAUUAAUUAAGUGGUCAAAAGAGAACUAAUUAAAUAUAUGGGUUGAUUAUGUAAAUCAUCCAUAUCUUGUAUAGUGGGCUAAUAGGCUCCAUGGAUUAUCAAGUUGGGUUCUACCCAUAGGAUGUUCCAUGGAUGCUCCAUGGGAGUUACAAACCCAUGGGUCAUGGAAAUGAAGAGUCAUGACACAUUAGGGUUUACAUGGUGUAACCCUAGAUGUGUCAACACUAUAUAAGAAUCCCAUUCUCCACCAAAAUCGGCUACACAUAAGAAACAAGAGGGCUAGGCCGAUUUCAAGAAGUGUGUAUUCUCUCAAAAGUCUUUCCAAGAGCAUUUGGUGUUGUGUGAAGCAUUUGAGGCAUCACACUUGGGGUGCUAGGCUCACAAGGUUUCAAGGAACAUAAGCAACAACAAGGUAAGUUAUUCUAUCUUUCAUUCAAGUUAAAAUUGUUCCCCAUGUAUGCUAGAUAGGAAUAUAACCUUGGAAAUCCAACUUUGCAUGAUAAUUAGACAAACAUAGAUCCAAGGUUAUUAGGGUUGCAUGUACACUUAGGAAGUGUUAGAAUGCUCAAAUCCCAUCAAGGACAUAGUCAGGAAAACGAUCCUUUGAAACAAAGGAAGAAAGUAAAGCAUCUCCUACUGGUGACGGUCAUCCCUAUGGUGAACCCUUAGUUCAACUAGUUGACAUUCCAUAUCAAGCAGGUGUCUUUCGUACACCCUCUGGCGUACUCGGAGCUCUAUGACUUCGGCUCGUGCUUCAUCUAGUGCUUGUAGUAGGGUCUCAUGUUCUCUAUCAGAUCUUUCAUGAGUGUGUUCAAGGCGAUUGGUGCGGAUGGUAUGCAUUCUUUCAUGGGCAUCAACCUCUGCGAUACGAUGGAGAGCUAUCCUGCCCUGAAUCUCGUUUCGGGAUACUCUACGGACCAGAACUGGUAGAAUUCUGUCUGCUGAGCUUCCUUCGCUUAUGUUGUAGAAGCUUCAGUCUCCAUUAAACGACAUAGGUUGAUCUUGCUCUUCGCUCCAUGUCUCCAAACAUUCUACCCAAGGAGGCGUCAGACCAAGAAAAGUCGAACAAGGGUUAGGAUUUGGAAUUGGCGCUUCCGGGGGUAGGUUCUCAACUUCAGGUUCGAAGUUAGCAUCAUCUGAAAGGUCUUCAGCAUGGUGAUCAUUCAAAGGGAUUGGAUGAUCAUCCUCUGGUUCUUCUCCAAACCAUCCAGCAUUGCCUUCGUUCGGAGGUACGGGUCGUUGUAGGGAUGGAGUCCACCCAUGUUAUCUACGCGAGAAUUGGGGUGUUGAAAUAAUUAUUUUUUAAACUAACUAGAUAAUUAUUAGAUAAUCUUCAUUAGUUAACUCCCUACUUGUAAAUUGCAUACCAGUUAUAUGUAAUCAAAACAGGAUAGGUCUUCGAAUAAGUGACCUUAACUCCAAAUUCACAAGGAACAGGGGUAAAACAAAAAUUCACAGAUUCUAAGUCUAUGACAUCCUAGUUACAUAUAACCUUAUUGUAUCCACUUAGCAACUGUUGACCUCAUAAUGAAGAUCUUUUUAGUUCUCAAGUAAGUAAUUAUAGUAACACAAAAUACUCCUAUAGUAUCUUAGACUUAUGUUAUGUUCUAAUGUUCUCAUUGUGGUAGUGUUGGUAAGUUUUAGACUUGUUGCCACAUCACAACCAUUCUUGGGCAUACGCUAAUCACUCCUCGGACUAGCAUAGUUGAUCAGGCUAUGCCACUCCCAAGACUGACCAUACAUCCACGAGCUUACUUGUGAUAUUCAAAAAUCGUAAUACUUUUGGUCUUGUCAUUGUGACACUGAUUUUAGUAUGAAUGCAAGUAUGUAUACUUAGUUAAAUAUUUUAUUAUUUAAAAGUAUAUACUCUUGGUCAGAGUAUUUUAAUCCCAUUGUAUUUAUAGUUAGUAUAUCUUUUAUGGGUUGAUAUACUUAAUUCACUAUAAACAAUGCUCUGAUACCAAUCUGUCACACCCCAAAACCAAGAACGGCGGAAACGUUCUGGGGCGGACGACGUCAUGUAAAGUAUCACAACAAUGCAAAGUAGUAAACAAGCAACAACAUCAUCCAUUUCAUUAAUAUUAUAAUUUUAAUUACAAGUGUGUUCUUUCAUAGUAUAAAACAACAUAAUGAAUAAUCAAAAUAAAAGUCGGGUCUUGAAUUCUCAUGCCCAAGGGGUCCUUAUAUAAGUGUAGGAAUUAGGGUUUCAAUCAUUAUCGUUAACUGGUUACUUAGCCACCAAGCAGCCCAUAAGAUAACUCUAUAAUCCCCUUUAUGGACGAAUUCUUAAGGCCUUAUCCUUAGAAUUUGUCCACUCUAUCAUUUAGGGUUUCCUUGCUUAACCUUGUAACUAUCACAUAAUACAAUNUUAACCUUGUAACUAUCACAUAAUUACAAUUCAGUCCCCCUAGUUCAAUUACCUUCUUUUGAUCACAAAAUUAAUUCUUAAUUAAUUCUUGACCAAUGUUAGCUAAAUAAAUAUGAUUUAUCUUUUAAUAUAUUAUUCUUAUAAAAUAUUAAUAAAACAUAAUAACCUCUUUCUCUAUUAUUCAUCCAAUCAAGUGGCUUUGGUGAAGGCAACUUAAAAGGACCAUGCACAAUUGGGUCAAGUACAUACCAUAUAUAUUUAUGGACUAAGACACUAAUCCAACAGUCUCCCACUUGGAUAAGUCUAAUAACUACAAAUGCGAAUGUAACUUCUGGAUCUGAUUAGCAAUCACAGUUCUCAAAACUCUUGAUCUUAUCAAUAACAUGUCCUUUAGAUAAUGGAUCGUAGGGUCCUCCGUUCUAGAUAUUAUGUGGACAAUUACAUGGAACAUAGUCAUACUUAUUGUCCACCAGUUUGUUUCUCGAUCUCUGAUUCGUCUUACAUAGAACUUAAUUGAACAUAUCAAUUCAGUCCUGACCAGGCCCGACAUAUAAGUCAAACUAAAUCAUCGAGGGCCCCAGAUAUCGCUUUUACCCUCUUAGGAUAAAAGGAACAGAUAAACUUCGACUUAUAUGCAUUACCAUUCACUCAUCAAAUCAUACACAACAAUGCGUUUUAUAACAUCAAGUUACUGAUGUGUUUAUGCAUUAUCAAUGCACAACCAACUUGCAAAUAACAAACCAUAUAUCUAGGUUUUAAGACUAUAUGAUAUUAUCGUCUUGCAAUCACUCGUGAUAAAUUCCAUGAAGUGAUACCAGCAAGCGUCGGUCUAAUCCAAUGCUCAAAUCGUAUUCAUAAGCACUCACGAACGUUGCAACAAACCUUUGCUAUGUCUAAUACACUUUAGACAAUCUACAAAGCAAUUCAUGACAAUAUUCUUUCAUACCUACUCCCAAAGUAUGAGCGACUGUGGAACGUUCUAAUAAUCUUAUUAUUCAGGAAGUCAAAACAUGCAAAUUGAAACAACAGGUAAACAAUUAACAUAAGACAGUAACUUUACUUAUAAAUAAUACUCCUUUAUUUAGUCAUCAAAUGUCAAUUACAUUUAUCUAUUACACGUUUCGAAGCUAUUUAAUCUAAACUAAUAUUGUCCUUCAGCCCGAUGCUCCUAGCGUGCUGCAAGUGCUUAACCCUAAUCAAUCCUUUCGUAAGGGGAUUUGUUGGGUUAUCCUCCGAUGAUACCCUCUUCACUACAAGGAGUCCUUCUUCCACCUGAUGUCGAAUAAAAUGAUAUAUCCUGUCGAUAUAUUGAGAUCUGCCAUGAUCCCUCGGUUCCAUGGUCAAGGUAACCGCUCCUUCAUUAUCACAGAAAAUUUGCAUAGGCUCCUUUAAAGCUGGCACAACUCCAAGGUCUCCGAUGAAGUUCUUCAACCAUAUCUCCACCUUUGACGCUUCGCUCCCCGCUAUAUACUAUGAUCCGCAUGUUGAAUAAGCUACAGUUUCUUGCUUGGAACUUUUCCAAGUCACUUCUCCUCCAUUUAGGGUAAAGACCUAGCCCGACUGUGAACGGUAGUUGUCCCUGUCGGUCUGAAAAUUCUCGACACUAUACCCUCGUACCCUUAAUUCAUCACUCCCACCGAGGACUAGAAAUUCCUUGGUCCUUUGAAGGUACUUAAAAAUAUUCUUGACUACGAUCCAUUGUGCUUUGCCAGGGUUCCCUUGAUAUCUGCUGACCAUGCUCAAAGAAAAGGCAACAUCAGGGAUAUUACAAGUCAUAGCAUACAUGAUCGAGCCAACUGUAGAAGCGUAAGGUACUCGAGUCAUCUCUACUAUCUCUACUUCGGUACUCGGACUUUCAAUCUUACUCAACUGGGCAUUACUUUGGAUUGGUAACCCCCCUUCUUAGAAUUAUCCAUCCUAAAACGCUUUAGUACCUUGUCCAAGUAAGUAUUCUGACGAAGUCCUAUUAGUCUUUUACUUAUGUUUCUCACUAUCCAUAUUCCCAAAAUAUAGGCAGCCUCUCCGAGGUCCUUCAUAGUGAAACACUUCCCAAGCCAAGACUUGACUUCCUGCAGUGUUGGGAUGUCGUUUCCUAUGAGUAGUAUGUCAUCGACAUAUAAUACGAGGAAGCUAACAGUACUCCCACUGGCUUUGACAUAUACACAUGAUUCAUCCUUGCUUCGUAGAAAACCAAACUCUUUAACUUUCUCAUCGAAACAAAGAUUCCAUCUGCAAGAUGAUUGUUUCAAUCCAUAAAUGGACUUCUCAAGCUUACACACUCUAUUAGGAUGCUUUGCAUCGACAAAACCCUCUGGAUGACUCAUGUAAACAUCCUCAGCCAACUUCCCAUUAAGGAAAGUGGUUUUGACAUCCAUCUGCCAUAUCUCAUAAUCAUGAAAUGCAACGAUGGCUAGCAUCACCCUAAUAGACUUUAUCUUCACAACCGAUGAGAAAGUCUCAUCAUAGUCAACUCCGAGAGUUUGAGUAAAGCCCUUCGCAACCAAUCGUGCCUUAUAGGUGUGUACGUUCCAAUCCAUGUCGGUCUUCUUCAUAAAUAUCCAUUUGCACCUGAUCGUCUUACGACCUAGCACAUUGUCAACCAAAUUCCAAACUUGGUUGUCAUACAUGGACUGAAUCUCGUUGUUCAUAGCCUCUUUCCAUUUCGUAGACUCCGGGACCGCUAUGGCUUCCUUGUAGCUAUUCGGUUCAUCCAAAUUUAUUAGUGUACUAUCACUAAUAAAUGUAUCACCCUCACUCAUUAUAUGAAAACCAUACAAUACGGGCGGAACACUAACUCUACUGUAACGUCUAAGAGGUAAGGAUUCGUCAAUCGGUUCAAGCAGAGUUUCCUCCUCGGGUUGAGCGCCAGUGUUAGAGGUUCCUUCAUCGCUCGACUCUUGAAUCUCUUCAAGAUCAAUUUGCCUCCCACUUUCCCCUUCGCUUCUGAGUUUUCGCUCUCAGAAAACCCCUUUCCUCGCAACAAUGACAACAUUGUUAUUCGGUCUAUAGAAGAGAUAUCCAAAGGACUUCUGCGGGUAGACGAUGGAAAUACAUCCCUCACUACGAGGUUCGAGCUUGUGGUGAGCCUCUCGUCUUACAAAAGCCUCGCAACCCCAAACCUUGAUGUGUACCAACGAGGGAUUUUGUAAUACGAAAGAUAAGGAGUUUGUGAGUGCAUGUGGUUGAACCUAUAUGUAUUUCGAUCGUUCAUGUAAAGAAUAGAAGUAUGUUCUCGAGGGUUUGACCUACAUCCCUAUAAUGCAAUCCUAUUAAAGAGUAGAAGUAUGUUCGUAGAAUGAUCUCAAAACGUUUGUCGUCCAAACCGAGGGUACCAUUGGUUGGUGAAUAACAUGAUCCAACCUUUGAAAGCAGAUUGGGAAUGAUCCCUGAGCUAUAUUACCCUAGUCCAAUAACUUGACUAGAGUGGGUUUCAGAUAGACUCCAACGAUAGUAUGAUGAAAGUAUAUGAACAAAGAAUGCCAAAGAAGUUAGCCGACUGUCAAUAUCAUUGAUACUCAUGACGUAAUAAGUUUGGGAAAAAAUGACCUUGGAGUAGGUCUUACAUCAUAUCCAGAGUAGAAAAGUUUUGGCCGCAUAAAGGCCUAACUAAAAGUACCUACAGUACAAGAUAGUUACAUAGAAAUAUGCCACAUAGGACAUAGUCAGGAAAACGAUCCUUUGAAACAAUGGAAGAAAGUAAAGCAUCUCCUACUGGUGACGGUCACCCCUAUGGUGAACCCUUAGUUCAACUAGUUGACAUUCCAUAUCAAGCAGGUGUCUUUCGUACACCCUCUGGCGUACUCGGAGCUCUAUGACUUCGGCUCGUGCUUCAUCUAGUGCUUGUAGUAGGGUCUCAUGUUCUCUAUCAGAUCUUUCAUGAGUGUGUUCAAGGCGAUUGGUGCGGAUGGUAUGCAUUCUUUCAUGGGCAUCAACCUCUACGAUACGAUGGAGAGCUAUCCUGCCCUGAAUCUCGUUUCGGGAUACUCUACGGACCAGAACUGGUAGAAUUUUGUUUGCUGAGCUUCCUUCGCUUAUGUUGUAGAAGCUUCGGUCUCCAUUAAACGACAUAGGUUGAUCUUUCUCUUCGCUCCAUGUCUCCAAACAUUCUACCCAAGGAGGCGUCGGACCAAGAAAAGUCGGACGAGGGUUAGGAUUUUGAAUGGGAGCUUCCGGGGUAGGUUCUCAACUUCGGGUUCGAAGUUAGCAUCAUCUGAAAGGUCUUCAGCAUGGUGAUCAUUCAAAGGGAUUGGAUGAUCAUCCUCUGGUUCUUCUCCAAACCAUCCAGCAUUGCCUUCGUUCGGAGGUACGGGUCGUUGUAGGGAUGGAGUCCACCCAUGUUAUCUACGCGAGAAUUGGGGUGUUGAAAUAAUUAUUUUUUAAACUAACUAGAUAAUUAUUAGAUAAUCUUCAUUAGUUAACUCCCUACUUGUAAAUUGCAUACCAGUUAUAUGUAAUCAAAACAGGAUAGGUCUUCGAAUAAGUGACCUUAACUCGAAAUUCACAAGGAACAGGGGUAAAACAAAAAUUCACAGAUUCUAAGUCUAUGACAUCCUAGUUACAUAUAACCUUAGUGUAUCCACUUAGCAACUAUUGACCUCAUAAUGAAGAUCUUUUUAGUUCUCAAGUAAGUAAUUAUAGUAACACAAAAUACUCCUAUAGUAUCUUAGACUUAUGUUAUGUUCUAAUGUUCUCAUUGUGGUAGUGUUGGUAAGUUUUAGACUUGUUGCCACAUCACAACCAUUCUUGGGCAUACGCUAAUCACUCCUCGGACUAGCAUAGUUGAUCAGGCUAUGCCACUCCCAAGACUGACCAUACAUCCCCGAGCUUACUUGUGAUAUUCAAAAAUCGUAAUACUUUUGGUCUUGUCAUUGUGACACUGAUUUUAGUAUGAAUACAAGUAUGUAUACUUAGUUAAAUAUUUUAUUAUUUAAAAGUAUAUACUCUUGGUCAGAGUAUAUUAAUCCCAUUGUAUUUAUAGUUAGUAUAUCUUUUAUGGGUUGAUAUACUUAAUUCACUAUAAACAAUGCUCUGAUACCAAUCUGUCACACCCCAAAACCAAGAACGGCGGAAACGUUCUGGGGCGGAGGACGUCAUGUAAAGUAUCACAACAAUGCAAAGUAGUAAACAAGCAACAACAUCAUCCAUUUCAUUAAUAGUAUAAUUUUAAUUACAAGUGUGUUCUUUCAUAGUAUAAAACAACAUAAUGAAUAAUCAAAAUAAAAGUCGGGUCUUGAAUACUCCGUCUUCGCAAAAGCUGGUCGUCGUACCUGUCUAUUUGUGACCUGAGAAUACAAGUUAUUUUGAAAGCAUGUAUCAACAAUAAAGUUGGUGAAUUCAUAAGUAUUUAUGUGUCUUUGACUUGUAAAACUGUAAAAGAAAGACUUUUAAAUGUUCGAAGAAAAGUUUGUAUAAGUAUGAAAAUGUUUGUAAGUAAUUGUAAACGUUUGAAAACCCUAGAAAAUCCCAUAUUUCCUACUAGUAUAAAAAGUAGUCUUCUACCAAGACCCGACUGUUUUGAAAGUAGCCUUCUACCAAGACCCAACUGUUUUGAAAGUAGCCUUCUACCAAGACCAGACUCUUUUGAAAAUAUCGUUCUACAGCUAUUAUUAUUCAAGUCUAAUAUACCUCAUCGAUUAUGUGAAUGUGACACAAAGUAAAGGUAAUAAGGAAAAUAAUAUAAUAAGUGGAAUUGAAUCCUCUUGUAUUUUUCGUAUGUAAAGUGUAAGUACUGUAGUAUUUGUAAUAAGUGGCUACUAUUGUACUGAUUGCCUUAAAAUGAGUAUUAAGGUAUAAUGUGAUGGCUAGAUCCAAUACUAAAUGCUCUCCCUGUCAAAAGAUUCUGUGAACCAAACGUGACCCCUGCAAUGUUGCAAGUCGUGAACAUCCACAUUAUUAUGAUCAUGUAUACCCAAUAUAACUACCACCUUUUGUUUAGAACAAUGCGUUAGUGAUUCAUUGGUAUAGUCAGAUCUUGUAAUUGUUCCAUGUUAUAGCACCUUGUCGUGUAUUGUAUCUUCCUCCCUAUUUCUCUUUAUUGUGUGUUCUCUUAUGUUAUCGUGUAUUGUAUCUAUGAAAUAGUAUCUCUGUAAUAGUAUCUAUGUAAUAGUAUGUAAUAUAAUCUCUUAAUAUAGUAUGUAAUGUAUUAGUAUGUCUGUAAUUGUACUUUUGUAAUUGUAUCUCUUCAUAUAGUAUGUAAUGUAUUAGUAUAGACUCAUGAAUGAACUGACUCCUGUGUGAUUCUUUGUACUUGGAAUAGUAAGUAGUAUCUCCUAACUAUACCUAUUAUAGUUACUAGUAAUGUACGUGUAUAAUCGAAAGUAUGCCUUUGCUACCCAAAGGUACUGAACUAACUGAUGGAACUUUUAUGUCUAUAUAUGUAUACAUAAUAUAUAACUAAUAUUUAGACGACAUGCGGACGAAUAACCGAUACCCUAAGGCCACAUCCCAACGAGGAAAAGGAAAUAAAGUGAGCUAGCCAUCCUAUGUCCUUUAAACAUUACUUAUAUAACUAUACAUAUAUAGGCAUGCAUUUGACAAUAAAAAAGUAUAAAAGAUGUUUUGUAAAACNGAGCUAGCCGUCCUAAGUCCUUUAAACAUUACUUGUAUAACUAUACAUAUAUAGGCAUGCAUUUGACAAUAUAAAAGUAUAAAAGAAGUUUUGUAAAACCUUUAAAAAGUUUAAUAACUAAGAAAUGAUGACUUUAUGUCAGUUUGUAAAACGAUAUGAAAGGAGUUUGUUUGAUAAGAACAGUUUUAAGUAUAAGGAAACCUUUGUUUGAAACACAAUUGUAACAGAGUUUGAAAGGAAACAUACAGUAUGUAAGACAAUUUGAUAAAGAGUUUUAAACAUGUAAAAACGUUUGAGAAAGCCAUUUGAAGUAAGCUGUUUGGUAAAACAGCUAAAAGUGUAGUAAAUCCAUUUGCAUGCUAGUUAUUAAUCACAUGUGAUUGAUGUACUAACUAGCAUGAUUCAACUUGUAUUCCCCCCAAAAAAGCAUUUAUAAACAUUUAGAAACAUUUAAAGGUUAAUUAAGGGGUAUGAACUCAAGUGAUGUGAGUGGAUUGUAUGGAAGUGUCGGACAAGUGCUUGGUGUCAAGUGAAGACUUAAACACACACAAUGAUCUUAAUAACAUAUAAAGACAUACGUAUAUAUAUAUAUAUAUAUAUAUAUAUAUAUACAAUUAGUGAUUAUAACACUAAUUAGACAAGUAUAAACAUUCUAAGGCGUGGAAAACACUUUAGUCAAAGUGUUACGAGGCCAUUGGGUUGCAACAAAAGAUUGCAAGGCGUCGUAUUUGACUUUAUGGUCCAUGGACCAUACUUAUUGGAGUUUACGGCCCAGGGGAGUUUACUCCUGGCCGUAAACUCUCUAAUGGGUCACCAUUUGUGGCUUAAAGGUUAGAAGUCUUAAGUGGUUAAGUACUCCAAGGCUUAAACAAGAGGCUAGGUGAGUUUAAGGUCCAAGAAUGACCCUAACUUGUGUUUACGGCCUGGGGACCACUUCCCCACGCGUUUACGGCCAUAAACUCAUGGUGGGAAGUACCAUUUCGUUUCUUGAAGUCCCUAGUUCAAUGGUGAUUGGUUCUAUGUUAAGAUCUAGUUAAUUGGAAGAAGGAAAGGGCAUCAUUGCACCCUUAUAGGGAGUUUAUGGUCUUGGGAGAUCCUUGGCCGUAAAAUCUCAUUCAACCCUCUAUUCCUCAUGAUUCUAAGCUCUAAACAUGUUAAACCUAAUGUACAACGAGUUAGAACAAGAGUACUUACGAUCUAGGAGUUGGAAUGGUCGGUUUUGGCCAAUAACCCUAGUGUGUGUUCUUGGUGAAACUUGAAGAUCAACAAAAUGGAAUCAUUUCAGGGAUGAAAUCAUGUAAGAUCACUAGUGCACGUAAGAUAUCAACUAGUUAGGACAAUAAACUUACAAGUUUUGAAGAUCGGGGACGAAGAUCCCGAUGAUACUUGAGAGAAAACUGAAGUUCUUGGGUUUGAGAAGUGAGAAAAUGGCUAGAAAUGAUCAAAAUUCAUAUAUAUAUAUAUAUAUAUAUAUAUAUAUAUAUAUAUAUAUGUGUGGUAGGGAGUUUCAAGUCANACCCUCUUGAGUUUAUGGCCGUAAACUCCAUCUCAUGGAGUUUAGGGCAUAAAUUUCAGUGCUGAGGCUUUAGCAGUUACUUUCCAACACUUAUUCCUUAAGUGUACAAGGCUUAGAACUCUCAAAUAGACUCCAAAUUGUGCUAAAUGAUAGCAGGAAUGAGUUUGACACUUUCAAUGAAGUAUUUGACUGUAUGAGAUAGAAAAUUUCGGGUUGUCACAUGGUAGGUUAUGCAGAACUGGUUAUAACAGGGAGGCAAGGAGUGAAGGAUGAUGUCAAUUGCUAGCUCUUCAUUAAAGUUAACAUUUAACUUUAGCAAGCGAUCAACAUAUCUCUACAUCUUUUGCAGAUGAGCAUUAAGGGACACUCCAUUGCCCAUUUUGGCAGUGAUCAUCGAAGUGAUGAUCUCGUACCUUUCUUGCCUAGAAGUUUGGUGGUAUCGGUCUAGUAGAUCUUGAUGCAUCUCAUAUGAAUACAUGUCCUCAUAGGAGUUCUGCAGUCAUAGUCGCCAGCAUGAUGCAAUGGACUUUCAUAGCAUCAUGCUCAUGGGCCUCAAAGGCAGCGAUUUCUUCAGCAGAGGCAGUGUUGAUGUUGAUUUCCUUCAGCUUCCCAUCGAGGACAUACUCCUUGUCUUCGUAACGAGUGGCCAUUAAGAUGUUACGGAUCCAAUCAUUGAAAUUGGACCCGUCAAACAUCACUCUCCCACACAAGUUCAUGAGUGAGAACGAGCCAGAGGAAGUUGAGCUGAAAGCGUUGUUGUUGACGUUCAACAUCUGAAAAGGAAAAGAAAACAAAGUUUGAUUAGAUAAGAAUCCCCAAUUAAACACCCAAAUGAGAAAUUAGGGCUAGGAUCCUACAACAUUAUUUGCAAUAUAGAAGAAGGAUGUCGUAAUCUAAACAGAAAAUAAUUUGAAGGUAAGUGAAUGACGAUUCACUAAUUUCCACCACGAAAAACAAAUUAAAGCUAUGUUUUAAAUGUAUUGAAAACUCCUAAAUCUUUUGAGAUUCAUUGAACUUUUCAAUGGCAUGUUUAAAUCUCGAUAUGCCCCUCAAGUUUGUGAUUGGGAUGCCGAGGAUCACAAAGCGGGUAUGAAUAACCAUGCAAAUGUACAUGGUGCCCUCAAUGUUACAGUCACCUAUUUGAUGUGCUGGUUAACCACACACACUCCAUCGAACUAUGACAAACAUCGAGUCACCCUUCUCCACCUUUUUUUAGAGCCCAAUUAGUGUGCCGAUUAACCACACACGCUCCACUAACGUCUUAGCAAGGGUAUAAAGUGUAAUUUCAUGGAAUUGCAUCAAUUCACUUUUGCCUAAAGUAACUAAGAUUGGGAAUUUUGUAAAAAAAGAACAUUUAGUUAUUUUAUAAAAUCAUUAUACUUUUAAUGAGGAAAGGGUUGCCAUAUCCUACCCGUUCGGCUAACGACCCUCCACCAAUCAAGGAAGCGGUGGGUGAGAGUGGACACCUAUUAAAUGGUCAUUUUAUAGGCCAUAACCUUAUACCCCCUUUAUAGAUCGGCUUCGUGAAUGAGGCCUACUAACGGUAAGACUACCAUUUAAGUUAUACAUAUAUAAUAAUUAUUCUUAUAAUAUUAUAAGAGUAUAGGGUGAAUUUUAAACUAGUAAAACUCUAGGGUUUGGAAUUUAAUAAUUUCAAACUUAAACUUUUAAUCUAAAAAUUAAAUUUCGAAAUUUGAGGGCAAGUUUUGAAACUUUUCAAAACAUUACUAGAUUAAAUUCGAAAAUUAUUAGAUAAUCACAUUAGUAAUAUUUAUCACAUAAGUUAAUCUUUUCCAUACAAGAUAAUUCAAUUCAAUUUACAAAUGAUUAAUCUUUAUCUUAUAAAGCUAGUAAUUAUCUUAAACUGACAACUAUCCAUUAAUUUGAUUUGGAUAUCAAUCACCAAAAUAGAAAUCUGAUUUUUAAUUUGAAAAAAUAAUUUAUGGUAAUUAUCCAAAGCAAAUCAAAGCAGGAAAUUUGUUAUACAGCAAAUAGUUGUACUCACGUCGUGACCCUCUAUGGUCACGUCGUGAGUUCAAUCAAAAUAGAAAAAUAAAUUUUUAAGAUUUGAACAGUAAACUUGCAUCAAAUACAUUAGAAUGAACAAUAUAAGCUCUGAUACCACUAUUGGGUUAUGAGCAAAACAACAUUCCUAUGGUGUUCAUGCAAACCCUAAUGCUUGGAUCUAGUUUUUCUAAUGAUUCAUGCAUAUUGUCUAAGAAUUGAAAAAACCCUAUUCUAGCAUACAAGAAAAUCUAGUUGAAUAUCAAAUAAACAAAUUAGAUGAAUACCUUGAUUGUUGAUUGUAGAUCUUGAAGCUUUAAGAACCUUAGCACCUCAAAUGUUGUGCCUCUAAUGAUUCACAAACACCAAAAGCAAUUGAAUGAAGCAAGAGAGACAGGGGAGAGGGAAAAUCUGGCUCCAAGACUUCUAGGGUUAGGUGUAGCCGAAUUCUCAUGCCCAAGGGGUCCUUAUAUAGGUGUGGGAAUUAGGGUUUCAGUCAUUAUCGUUAUCUGGUUACUUAGCCACCAAGCAGCCCAUAAGAUAACUCUAUAAUCCCCAUUAUGGACAAAUUCUUAAGGCCUUAUCCUUAGAAUUCGUCCACCCUAUCAUUUAGGGUUUCCUUGCCGAACCUUGUAACUAUCACAUAAUUACAAUUCAGUCCCCUUAGUUCAAUUUCCUUCUUUUGAUCACAAAAUUAAUUCUUAAUUAAUUCUUGACCAAUGUUAAUUAAAUAAAUAUGAUUUCUCUUUUAAUAUAUUAUUCUUAUAAUAUAUUAAUAAAUGUAGGAACCCAUUUUUAUACGAACGGUGGAUGCGGAAGAAUAAUCUUGAGAUUUAUCGUGUAUCAAAAUAUAAAAAUAUGAAGAACAUCAAGAGAAUUCUUAGAAGAUGAGAAAGAAAAGAGAGAUAAUAAUAAUAAUAAUCAUGAAGAACAAUGGUGGGAGAGAAAACUCUCCCUAGGUGGGAGAGAUCCCACCACUUUCUCUCUCUAGAGUUUACAUUUUAUGAAAAGAUGCAUAAUAAGAAAAUGACCACCUCUCUGUUUAUAUAGGAGGGAGAGAUAAAAUACACCAACAAUACAAUAAAGGGAAAAAUACAACCUACUAUCACUCAUUAUUUGUAGAGCAUUUUCAUGCUCUAACAUUCUCUCCCUAAAUGCUUACAAAUGAUGAGAUAUACAAUAAGUGAUACAUGGCUAUAAUACAGUAAUACGACUAGCAAGUGUGGUAAUAAAAUGAAACAUAGUGAGAACCAAAUGUUGAAAUGUCUCUAAAACUCUGAACUGUAUGUGAAGUCUGGAACUGGCCAUGUAUCUCUAAACAAUGAAGGUCUUCGGCUUCAAAGCACAACCAAUGAAGCAGAAAAAAAAAAGAUUCAAAUCUUCAAACCAGUCAUAAUCACCAGAAGAAGAAGGUCACCAUGAGCAAGUAGAAGAUCCAAUAAAAGAAACACUUCGGCUUCAAAAUGUCUGAAAGACAUCUCGAGUUCUUGAAUCAUAAUACACCAAAAUUCUUCAAAGAAUAAUCUGCUAAAAAUGUGAAGCAUCCAUAAAAUGAAGUCCGGAUAAAAAUAAUGUGAGUCCAAAGACAUUGUCCAGCAAUGCCAGAAUUUUGAUCCAAGGAUAAAAAAAUAAGUGUCACGUCACAUCGCCAAAAUAAUCUUCAUCUUUAGCAUAUCACAAAUCCAAACUCAAAAAAUCAUAAGAUCUGAACCAGAUGCAAACACAAAAUCAUCCUGUGGUAGAGUCCGAAUAAUAAUUAAUCUGAAUCGGAAAACAUCGAGUAAUGCCAAAAUUUUGAUCCGUGAAGACCAAAAAUAAGUGACACAUCGCAUCACUAAAUAAAUAAUCAUCUUCAGAAGUCUUCAAAAAUCCAAACUCAAACAAUCAUAAGAACCAAAUCCGGAUGAUAUUCUCUCCCUAUUUUUGAUAACCAAUGACCAUAUAUCAAAAAUCAACACAUCAUCGGAUGGAGAGUGUCGGAUACCAAGAGCUAAGAGAGCUCUCCCUAGAUGCAUGAAGGGUCUCGAUAAGACACGAGACAUAGAGUAAAAUAGAUACUCUGCGGUCAUGAAAAGAUGGGUGAUAUGGUUGCUGAAGCUGCAUGAGCAAAUACCAUAGAACGAAGAAUCACUGCAUGAAAAAUAUUUUUGUUGUGCCGAAACUAUAUCAAUAUACCCAAACUGCAAUGUCGGAACUCUCGUAGUGGUCUUCAAUAGAGAAUAAAGUCCACAAGCUCAAGAUACAUGUUUCAUCAACCAAAAUUCAAGAGCGACAAAUCAUAAAAUCCCAUAAAGUGAAGAAUGUGAAACAACUUUGUUGAUCAAUCGUUGUUGCGGUGCAAACAUCACAAAGAAUGAUAUGAAGUCCGACUUCGGUAGAAGUAUUCUUCCAAAUAACCGGCAUGAAAUGAACCAUUGUAACAAUCCAAGGUUCGGUUGUGGCAAAAAUUGGUGUUAACAAAAAUAAUUGGUUUAAAAAAAAUUGGUUUUAAAAAAAAUUGGCUAAAUAAGAAAUUGGUGUUAAAAAAAUUGGCUGAAUAAUAAAAAAAAUGUCGUUAAAAAAAAUUGGCUGAGAAAAAAAAAUAAAAAUAAUACAAAAAAUGGAUGAAUAAAUAAAAAAAUGAACUUGAAAUAAAAUAAAGGGGGGUUAAUAAAAAGGGGAGGGCUGAUGAGAGGGGAGGAGGAAAGAAGGAAGAAGAGAGGGGAGGAGGAAGGAGGGGAAGAAGGAAGAAGAGAGGGGAGGAGGGAGGAGGAAGAAGAGAAGGGAGGAGGGGAGGGCUGAAGAGAAUCCAAAGUGAAGGAGAAGGUGGGUCUGGGAGGUGACUUCGGAUGGGAAGAAGAUGCGGAUGGAAGUGGGUGCGAUGGUAGGUGGGUGCGGACGAGAGAUGAGUACCGAAGUCUGCGGGUGAAGAAUGAUAGUUGCGGGUCGGACUGCAGUAGUACCAAAGCGAUCUGAUACUGCAGGGGCGGUCCGAACCGAGAAGGAAGCCUGCGGUCCGAACUGCGGGUGAGAGCUUGCGGAUCCGAGGCUGCUGAUCCAAGACUGCGGUCAGAGGGCUAAGAAGGGUGGCUUCGGUCCAAAGUUGAGAAGGGUACAUUGCGGGUAAGAGGGCUUCGAUCUGCAAGUAAAGGGAAGGCUGCGGACAAAGCUUAAGAAGGACAUCAGAUCAAGGGCUAAGAAGGGUUGCGGGGAGGCUUCUUAGGAGGCUCCGGUAGGCAGAUUUUGGUUGCAGUUCGGGGCUCUGAGAAGGGCUGAAUAUAUGACGAAAAAUGCUAUGUUUUCAUGAAAAAUUGUACCGCAAAGGCCAUUUAUUCAUAUUUUAUUGAGGGGAAUAUUUUUUAAGCAUUUUGGGUCAAAAAGUGGUCUUGGGAAGGCAAAAAGAGGAGUGUACAGAGAUUUUUAGCGGACAAAAGGUGAUGGGAUUUGUCAUAGUCAUAUGGUUUUUACUUGGGAAGGCAAAAGUGUGUUGAGUACUCUUUACCCAAAAGAGAAAAAAGGACAAAGUGUUUUAUGCAAACACAUAUUACGUCCAAAAUAUCUUCAAAUCAAAGAUUCACAGCACUAAAAUUAUGAAGAACAAGAACUUCAUACCUUUGAGAAUAAUAGUUGUUGGGUAAAAAUAACUUUAAUAAAGAGAUGUUUUUCUCCACUUUCUUCAAGAAAAUAAGCCCAUUAUUUUUUGUCUUUUCUUCCAAGAUUAAAAGAACCCCCUGGAACAAUUUCUUCAACAAUUUGAGACCACAAAAAUAAUUUCUUCUCCCAUUUUUUCUUCAUUUCUUCAACAGCAAGAUAAUAAGAAUUUCAAGAACAUAAAUUUUAGUAGUGAAUUUGAGUGAGCAGAAACAACAUAAUUAUUCUACGAAGAAAGAAUCACCCCAGAAAAAUAGAAAACUCAUCAGAAAUUUCAGGUUUGAACCCGAAAAUUCUUUCAAAAACACGAAAAACUUCAAGAUAAUCACCAAACGGGGGUCGUUCCCUUGAAAUAAUCGUGAGAUCUUCAAGUACGGCUCUGAUACCAAUUGUAGGAACCCAUUUUUAUACGAACGGUGGAUGCGGAAGAAUAAUCUUGAGAUUUAUCGUGUAUGAAAAUAUAAAAAUAUGAAGAACAUGAUGAGAAUUCUUAGAAGAUGAGAAAGAAAAGAGAGAUAAUAAUAAUAUUCAUGAAGAACAAUGGUGGGAGAGAAAACUCUCCCUAGGCGGGAGAGAUCCCACCACUUUCUCUCUCUAGAGAUUACAUUGUAAGAAAAGAUGCAUAAUAAGAAAAUGACCACCUCUCCCUUUAUAUAGGAGGGAGAGAUAAAAUACACCAACAAUACAAUAAAAGGAAAAAUACAACCUAACUAUCACUCAUUAUUUGUAGAGCAUUUCCAUGCUCCAACAAUAAACCAUAAUAACCUCUUUCUCUAUUAUUCAUCCAGACAAGUUACUUUAGUGAGGGCAACCCAAAAGGAGCAUGCACAAUCGGGUCAAGUACAUACCAGAUAUAGUUAUGGAAUUAGACACUAAUCUAACAAAAACAACACUUAUAAGUCUUCUGGACAUCAUGUUCUCUACAUCAGGUGUGUUGUUGAUCAAAAUAAGUAUAGGGAAAUGAUUGGAUUGCUACCCUACCUCACUACAGGUCGUCUGGACAUCAUGUUCACUACAUGCAUGUGUGCUAGAUUCUAGGUUAAUACAAAGAUGUCUCAUAUACUAGCUGUCAAGCAGAUUUUCUGAUAUCACAAAGGGACAAAGAACCUCGGAAUAUGGUACCCGACAAAUGAAAUUUUCUUUCUUCGUCCAUAUUCCGACUCAAACUAUGGAGGUCUUCAACUAGACCGAGAGAGUAAUUUAGGAGGUUGUCAAUUUUUAGGUGGAAGAUUGGUUAGCUGGUCAUUGAAGGAACAAAAUUGUAUUUCUCUCUUAACAACCAAAGCAGAACACAUCACUGCUACAAGCUGCACUUCGCAAGUUCCUUGGAUGAAAUCUCAGCUUCUGGACUAUGGUUAUCGAUUUUAACAGAUUCCAAUCUAUUGUGACUCUCAAAGUGCAGUUGUGAUUUCUCAUAAUCCAAUCCAGCACUCCAUGACUAAACACAUUGAUAUUCGAUAUCAUUUCAUUAAAGAUCAUGUUUUAAAAGGAAACAACAAAAUCAUUUUGGUUCCAUCUGAUGAUGAAAUUGCUGAUGUCUUUACUAAGGCAUUAGACAAAACCAAAGUUAAUGGAUUCUUGAACAAAAUGUGAAUGAUGAUGCAUGAUCCACAAUUCUUCCAAGAGGUUUGUACUCUCUAAUGGAAACAUUAGAAAGUAAAUAAUUCUAAAGUCAAAUUUGUUUCUCCUCGGAAUCGUUUCCUCUAGGAAAAUAUAGGAUCAUCAUAUAUAUCUUUUUUUCUAACCUCUUCUUCUUGUUUUUAAGUUGUUCAGCCUUUCUCAUCUCUUAAAUUUCUGACCGAUAUUGUUACAUUGAAGUACUUACAAUCCUUCCACCUCAGAGUUUAUUUUAAAACAGCAUGUGUUAUGAAGUUCAUCUUAGAAUUCAAAUCCGAAAUGGCAAUGUGAAUUCAUCUCUAAUCUUCUUCCGAGCUUUGUUCCUUCAUUUCUCAUAAUCUCAAAUCUUUUGAAACUGGUCCUCUAAGAUCUUCAUGCCUUUUAACCUCUGACAUUCAUUUUUAGUAUGUGCCAUCUCAAGCUUUAUAUUACAUACUAAUGUUGAGUUUAUGUUCUUUCUGAAGUAUCUUAUGACAUCUCAUCUCGGAAUCCGAUUAUUCUGAGAUCCUCGCAAUCAAAGAACUUUAAGGUUAUCAGUUAAGUUUUUAUUCUGAAAUGUUUUUCAUUUAUAUAUUAAUGGUAAUUUUUCUUCAGGAUUAUUUUUUUAAUUCUCAAUAAAACUACUUUGUAACACGUUCCAAUAAAGUGCAUUACAGUAUCAUAACUAAAACGACAAUUUUCUCUUUUGGAACAAACAAACAUCCCAUCUUCCGUGUGCUACAGUCGCUUAGGACUUCGUUUUCGGCAAUGCAUUUAAUACAUCCCAUUUCGUGUUCGAGUGUCAUCAUUACUUUCUUCGACCUGACCCGAAAUAUCAAAGCUAUAAAAGGAUUUUGAAUCCUAAUUGUUCCCACUUUUCACUUUUUCUAUCAUCUUCUUAGAGCCUUUCUAUUUGUACUCUAUUCUUCAAGCUCUCAAACAUUCAUCAAUAGUGUCUUCUCAAACUGUUCCUCAAGUUUCCAAAGCUGCAUCAAAGAAAAAAUCUUCAAAGGGUUCCGCCUCAUCUUCAUUCACUAAGAUCAUCCUCAGAGAAACCACUCAAUUGUUCUCACUUGAUCCCAUGGAUUAUGAUGAAUCCAUCUGCAUCGUUAUCGAGUUCAUCUCCCACCAUCCUAUAGCAGUUCCUCUCACCAAAAUUCCUAACCCUAAACUUCCUCUUCGCAAUCUUCAUAAAGCCUUUGAACUUAUUAUGAUUAAAGACGAUGUACUGGAGGUGAACAUCACUGAUGACAAAAAUGUUCCUCUCCAUAAGAACAUUUUCCUCAAGGUAAUCAGAAUUGUAGAAAACCCAAAAGGUUUUCGUGUUCAAGAACCCACGACUGAAGAUUUUCAGUCCUUUCUGACUCAAAUUGGGUAUAAUGGGGAAUUCAAGGCAAAAGAGUUCAAGAAUUCUAUUGUUCCUGGCCUUUGGACCGUAUUGAUGCACCUAUUGUUGGAUUAGGUGUUUAAGCCCAUACUAUAAUUGAUAUAUACUUCAAUUGAUAGUAACAUAGUCCUUUCGGGUUGCCCUGAAACCUAGCAACUGUACAUGAAGAUUUUGGAGAGAGAGGUUGAUUUAUUAUAUGAGUAAUAAAUUUAAAUAAUUGAUUUAUUACUAUAUUAUGAAAAUAAUAUAUUUAUUAGAAAUCAUAUUGUUUAAUUAAUAAUUAAUCAGAAAUUAACGAUAAUUAAUUUUGAGAUUAAUUGGAUUAAUUAAAAGUGUAGGGACUAUUUGGUUAUUUAUUGAAAGUAGAGGAAAGAAGCCCAGUAAUGCGUGCAAAUAGCUACACCUAAUUUUAUAUUUAUAACCUAACUAACUUAACUAACUAAAUUGCACCUAGGAAGUGUACCCAGUCAAAUUAUAGAAUAGUUUGAGUAAGUCAGGUGUCGAUCACAGGGAACGGUGUUACUAAUUAAUCUAUUUACUACUAAAUUAACCUAAUUAUUAACAAAGAAAAGAGAUUUAUCUAAUUUUGCAACUUUAGAUGAACUUAAUUCUUUAACACAGAUUCAAUCAGAAACAAAACACUUCUGUUAGUUCGGAUCCAAUUUCCCUCAAUGGUUUAUAAAUUAGCUAUGACAAAUACUAUUGGUAACAAUUAAGAUAGUAAUAGCAAUUAAGUUCUAAAUCUACUAACAUUAAUUAAUUCAUGUAGUCUAUGUAUGGUCACACAAUAGUUAACACAGAAUCAGUUAUUGAAUAAGAUUGGAGCCAUGUAAGAUUGAUUCGGAAAACACACUUAUGGUCAUAAUAUGAGUUCUCUAGCACAGCUUAAUUCACUGAUCCAAUUACAUAUCUAAGAUUGGUUUGAUCUUAGCUCUAAUAAACUAGUGUUCACUGAAUUAUUAGGUAUUCAAAUUCACGCAUAUUUGUAUUCACUAACUACACAGAACAAGAAUUUAAAGCAAUUAAAUAUUAAAUUAAACAUUCUAGGUAAAAUCAAUCAACACAAGCACAUUACCAACAAGUAAAGUCAAAUCUAAUGCAUUAAAACCAUGAGUUCCAGCUCCAUCUAGUUAGUAGAAUCAGUUGGAUUUAGUUGGACAUAUUAGCAAAUAAACAAGCACAAGUUAUAUUCAAAGACAUGUUUAAAAGUACCAAACUAUGAAUCAAAUUAUGAACUUCUUCUUCCUUGGUGUUAAAACCGAGUUCCAAGCCUUCUUUUCCUCUUAUUUUUUACUUCUGGAACCUCUCUAAGCCAGCCAAAACUCUUCCAAUUCGUAAUGGACAAGGAUAUAUGUAUUUUCUAAUUUUUCCACGUUCACAUUGUGAGAAAUGUCUCACGUCGUCAAUACAAGAUAUACGUGUUCAACAAGGACUCUUCCUUCGGGUGCCUAUCUUCUAGAAUACUCCAACUCACGUCGUGAAUCUAGAUACCUCACGACGUGAAUAUAGCAGAUUUCGUGGGUUUCUUCUUUAUUCAUUCUCCAAGCCUCCAAAGUUCUAUGUUUUGACAAUUUUAGUCCCUUUCUUCAAAAAUGCUUCUAUUUUGCUGCAGAAUAUAAAUAAGCUUAUAAGUACCAUUAUUCUAUGCUAAUAACCAAAAUAUUAAUAAAACUAUAAAUAAAUAUUGCCUAAAAACAUCUAUAAAUAUGGCAAUAUCAAAAUACCCCACACUUAUAUUUUGCUUGCCGUCAAGCAAAUUUAACUAUUUUUCAUUCAAAACUUCAUCACCAACAUCACAUAAAACGGUCCAACUCAAACUCAGCCAUUAUGCCAAGACCUCAACGCCUGCAUUUGUGUCUAAAAUUUUCCUAAAGACCCCUCUCAAGUCUAAAUACUUACAAUCCUCAUAAACACGCACCCACUUUUUUUGAAGAAUGCUCAUUUUAUGAAUCCCUCUGAAUCCAUCCGCAGAAAACUUUCUAACCUCAAGGUAUUUUUGUAAAGCUACCCAAGCAUACAUAAACUAGAGAAUUACAACUUUAAGAUACCACAAUAUGGAGCUCUUGAAUUCUUUACUCUCUUUGAAAUUUGAUCUUCAAUUUCUUUGAAUUCACCACCUUUUUGUGAGAUUUUUUUUGUUUUGUAUCUUCAACUUUUUAUUUUUCAGAAUUUUUGAUCUUCGAUCUUCAAACUUUAUACUUUGAUUGCUCCAAAAUUCUUCAACUUUUCUUGUAAUUUUCUCUCUCUUUUUUUUACAUGUACUCACUUUUUUCACUCAGAACCUACAUGCUUAAGCAGGGGCGCUUAACUUCAACCCCUAUUGGUUAAGAUAUUAGUCUAUGUGCAAUGACUAUAUAAGUUUUCCUGGAUACAUUUCAAGUACAUGCUACUAAACAUAUUGCAUCCCUCAAACUAAGCGAGGUUGUGUUUUUGUCCCAUGAUUUCACUAGAAUAAAGGGGGGCACAAAUGCAUUAUAACGUAUAUUGGCUCAACUAAACAUUUGAGCUCUCAUCGGAUCACCCCAUGCAACACUAGCAACUUAAGUUUAAACUAUCAUUAUUACUAGAUAAAUUAUUAGAUUAUUCUUUCAAACCUAAAUACUCUAAAAAAUUAAAUUUUCUAGCAAUUUACUUUUGACUUCUUCGACCCCCUUUACCCCACACUUAUUACAUACAAUGGCCUCAUUGUAUGCAUAAAAUAAAUUAAAAGCGAUAAAAUGGAGAAAAAUGAACAGAUUCCCCUGUGAUAUUAGUGGCGGGAUUGAACUCCAAUCGUGCGGAUAAAAUGUGCAUUUCGAAUAUGGUCUUCUUCUAAAUAGGAACUUGGAUCUUGAUCAUUGCGAGAUAUAUAAAGCGCCAAUAAAAUAUGGAAUCUAAACUUCAAUCUUUAACAAAGGUGGUGUAAAUCUCCAAGCAAGAAGAAUAAUGUGGGAAAGCAUACGCCACAUUAUAUAGUGGAGGAAACGAGCAAUAAAUGUCGUGAUGAUAACUCCAAAAAGAAUGGUGGUGACGCAUGUAGAAAAGGCGAAUAAAAAGGCUUCAUUUUUGUGAGAAUACAAUACUCACAACAUGAGACAUAUAGUUCAUGACGUGAAGUCGUUAAAUCAUGAAUUCUGAACCCCUUCGUAAAGGAGCUCACGACGUGAGGCAUAAAUCUCAACGACGUGAGAACUGGGUGAACUGACAUAGUCCAGCUCCUCUUCUAAAAUUAUGCACUCCAACCAAUGUCUUAAUGAAUUAAGACUCUUCUAAAUGCAGUAUUUGAUGAGUCUUCUCUUGACUAACCCCACACUUAUUUCCAAUUAUGGGUCUCGAUUUCUCGACACUAGCCUCUAAACGACACUUGCCUAGACAUAUACGCUCUUAUCUCGAAUUUCCUUCCCGGGACUCCCUUAGCAAAUCUGAAAUUUAACAACCAAAGGAAAAAUAGAAGUAACAUAAUAACAUAACAAGAGUUUAACAAUCCAAACAAGUUCAAAAAACACACAAACCAAAUUAAACUAUAAACUAAAUAAUCAAAAUAAAAACGAUCAAUCAUCUUCUUCAUCGUUAUGAGUUCCACUUGUUCCUGCUCCAUCGCUUCUUGGUAUCCAAAGCUCUUCCCACGACGGGAUAUACGGGCACUAAGGUGGCAUGGUGGGUGGUCGCACCACAUUCAUAUGAUAGAACAUGGUUUCAAGCAUUUUAAUGGUGUAAGUCAUCCCACCGCGAAGAUUAUCUAAAUAAGAAUCAACCUGACUUUGAAACGGGUCGGUGGGUACUCCACCCGCAUAUUGUUGCUCCGCUCUACGAUAUCUCUCCAUGUCUCCUCAGGAUCUCACAUUUCGCCUUCCUCUUGGCCUCGAUUGCGGCGGUUGCUAAGGGUUGGUCGCUCGGUUGCUCAUCAUCAUCAUUAUCAUUCACAAUCCCCCAAUGUGUUCCAUAAUUCCUCACUACCUUCAUCAUCUCCAAAUAUCCCAUAGUAAACUCGUUCCCCUCCAUACAAGUCAAAGAGUGGGUGAUGUCGGGAAAGAUCAAACCAUAAGACCGGGCCAAAUGUCUGAUAAAGUGGCCUCCACAAAUAGGGCUCCCGGGGCGGGAACUCGUAGGAUAUUCCGCCAAAUAGCGGGCCAAGAAGUAUGGAACGUUGCAGCACACUCCCGGCUGUAAAAUCGACUAUAAAAAGAACAAGUUUAUCAUGGUGACCUUAUCCCCAUGGCGUUUGUGGUGAAUAGAAAAUGUGAUAAGACGAUGGAUAAGGUGGUGAAUUGGCGACUUAAUAUUGCUUUCCGGCGACACACCGGAAUUGAACACUCCAGAUGCAAUGUUGCUCCAAAAUUUGAGUCUCGAUGCACCAUUCUCGUAUCUACGGGCAUCCUCCCUCAAAAACAUAACAAACUCAUGAGUCAUAGUCUCAUAGGUCUCAUAUAACUCCAUCCUCCAAGGAAAAUCGACCAAACUACAUUCUCGAUAUUCUCCCCCGAGACAAAAAACCAAGGCUUGCUGGAAAGUAGGAUCCUUGAGAUUCUCAUGGAAUGCCACAUUCGAAAAGAAUUCCACACAAAGCUCCUUGUACACCCUCUCCUGGAUAGAAAACAAAUUAUGCCACCCCUUGCAUGUAAAAGAAAUUCAUUCCCCAAAAAUAACUUUCUAAGAUACUGGGAAAUCUGAUCAACAAGCCUGACCUCCCUCAUUCUUGCCCAAUUAAUGGUAGGGGCAACAGCAAUUUCCCAGUUGUACAACCAUCCUAACCGGUUGUUCCAACGCGUAAGAACAUCUCGUGACCCAGUUGUCGGGAAUACGUAGAACGGAUGCAAACUAGCCACCUCGGUUGGACCCUCGCGUUUAGGAGCCAUUUUUGCAAAACAAGAGACAACAAAAACCAACCAAGAAAGAUCCAACAUAUUAGAAUUAACCACAAGCCGAUUUAGGCACGCCCAGAAUUCACAUCGUGAAUUCCUAGGAAUUCACGUUGUGAGUUCAUCCAUAGAUGUCAAAAUCAAUCAAUGCAGUGUGUGAAUCGGGCCAAAAUAAUAGUUGCGGUUUUAUGCUAGAACAAUACUGAGUUCAUUCAUCCAACAUCCAGGGUCUAUAACAUGAAUCUUAGGGAACAUAUGAACAAUUUACUAAAUAGCAAACCCUAGCCCUAAAUUCAACUAAUAAAGCAAAAUUAGUUACUAAAAACAAGAAAGUAAUACCUUAAGAUGGAGUUUACGUAAGCAAAAAUGGAGUAAGGGGUAGUGGUCGGCCGCAAUCGGAACAAAGGGGGACCAGGAACCAUUCUCACUUCGUGGGGAUUAAGAAAUGAAUUAGGUCAAAGUUUUUCUGUCCCUUAAUUGUGGACCCGUGUUUUUCAAAAUUCAAGUCGUGAAUCCCUAAAGCUUCACGUCGUGAGUUCGUGUUGGGUUAUGUAGUUGGGCCAUCUCAUUAAUCAUCAAAUGGACUUAAUUGGUUAUUGGUCUAACAGAAAAAAAUAGCUUAUAAAUGUGCUAAGAAUAAAUGUUGGGCAAAUAUAAUUAUCAUACUAAAAUAUUAUGUAUCCCAUGUCUGUAUGGACUCACGUCGUGAGCCAUAAGUGCUCACGUCGUGAGUGUGGUCUGGUCAGAUAAUUUUCUAUGAAAUCAAUCUUCAUGUUUACUUAAAACCAUAAUUAAUUACCACUUAAUACAGGGACCCCACAUUUAAUGUUUUACUAUUCAAAAUUAUUAUAGGAUAAGACGAUUAAUAUUCCUAAAAAGUAAAAAUUCCAAAAACGAAAACGAAAAGAAAAGAAAAUUCAAACCGAGCUCGGGUUGCCUCCCGAAAGCGCUUCUUUUUUAAUGGAUUCCUGAGCCAGACUUCGUUCCUCCUACGUUGAGCUGUCAGAGGAGUCCAUCACCACUUGAAUUUUUUGUUCUUUCCAUCGCCACUUGUAAGCUUUGACUCGUCGAAUGUACGCCUUUUUCAUAUUCUCUUUUUAGCUUUCACUUCAUCUACAUCAAGCUUGCGUUUGAUCCCUUUAGUCUCCAAUUUUUCUUCACUCUUCAUCUCCAUAGGAAUCUUUUCUUCCUUCACCACUGGACUCGUCUCCUUGGAAGUAGCCUCGUCUUCAUCACUCGAUAAAUCUUCGCUUUCCUCACUCACCAAAUUUGUUGGAGUCUUAUAGGCAAUCACCUCAAAAACAAGUGGAAUGGAUGCUCUUGGUUUGGUGCGUUUGACUUGAUGAAUUUUCUUGAUUUCUUUCUCCAUGAGCUUCUCUAAUUCUUCAAAUUCAUUAUCUUCAUCAAUUUUGAACACCUCACCUUUGACAUCAUCUCCUUGAAAUCCAUCUUGUACUCCAAAAUCUUCCUCAUCAUCGCCAACCCUCAAUAUAAGUUUGGAUUCACGAACAUCAACUAAAGCUCUAGAAGUAUUUAGUAAGGGGCGACCAAGAAUGAUUGGGACAUUAACAUCCUCUUUCAUAUUCAUAACCACAAAGUCAACUGGGAAAACAAAUUUCCCAAUUUUAACCAGGAUGUCUUCUACAAUCCCCCUAGGAUGAGUUACUGAAUGAUUGGCCAUGUAAAUGGUCAUCUUUGUAGCCUUCAUCUUAUGAAUAUUUAACUUUUGAUAAAAUGAAUUGUUGGAUUAAUGUCUAAGUCCAUAACUAUAUUUGGUAUGUACUUGACUCGACCCGGCAUGGUCCAUUUGGGUUGCACUUCACCGACACAAUUUAUAUGGAUAGUAUUUUGAGAAUAGUAUAUAAAGAUGUCCUUGGUUGGUGAAAUGGGCACUAGUGUGGGUACACUAAGAGGGCUAGCCAAUUUCACUAGAGAAAACCAAUUAUCCAUAUUCUCUAAAGUCUUCCAAGGUGUUUUGGUGAUUUGUGAUUCCAUUUGAGGCUUCCACACUAUUGGGGUUAAGCUCUUAAAGCUUAAAGACAUCAAGCUACACCAAGGUUUAUAGGGUUGGAAAGUUCUUAACUAGUCUUUGUAGUAUAGUUACCUCAUAGUAUGCUAGUUAGGAUUAAAGACUUGGAAAGUUCUUAUUUGCAUGUAUAAUAGAGAAAACAUAGAUCCAAGGUAUUUAGGGUUGCAUGUACACUUAGGAAGUGUUAGAAUGCUCAAAACCCAACAGUGGUAUCAGAGCCACGGGUUGUUUUCUGUUAUAUUGAUGCAAAUAUUUUAUUUUCAAAGUUGAAAAAAAAAAAAAAAAAAAACAUGAAGUUUGUCAAAUUUUAAGAUAAUUACUUGUUCUUGUGAAAAACUAAUUAUUUGUAAAAUUUGAAUAAUUUGCUUUAUGAGUUGAAUUAGGUCAAAUUUAAUAAAAGAUAAAAUAAUAUGAUUAUUUUAUUAGUUUUAAAAGUUUGAUCUAAAGAGUUUUAUUUUUUGAAACCUCCAUAAGUUAUGGAUAUGAAAAGGUUUUAAAAAAAAAAUUGAUUCAAAGUUUUUUUGGAGUUACAAAAUUUGGUGUUAAUGUUUUAAAGGAUUCCAUAACUUAAGAAUAAGUUAUGGAUCACCAAAAGUUUUUUGUGUUACCUUGUUUUAUGAGUGAAUUUAGAUUAAUGAAUAAAAUUAUGUGAUAGUUGGUUUUAAUCCAAAUUAAUCUAAGAAUUGAUUCUAAAAUGUGUUUUUGUAACUUGUCCUCAAGUUAUAUGAAAAGUCACAUUUAAGAAUCAUAAAACUCAUAAAAAUUGGCAAAGGUUACAAAAAUGAAGAGUCUAGUUCUAAUUAAAUGGUUUUAUGACUCCAUAACUUGUCCUCAAGUUAUGGAGGACCAAGAGUCUCUUCAUUUAAUAAAAUAAAAAAAAAAAAAAAAAGGUGUAACCUUAAUUAAUUCCAUAAGUUAUAAAAUAAAGAAAAGUUAAUUCUUUUAUUAGUUUAAAGUCUUCCAUAACUUGUCCUCAAGUUAUGGAACUUGAAGAGUUUUUGGAUUAAAACUACUUUAAACACAUAAGUUAUGGAAUUAAUUAGUUUUGAAUAGUUUCAAAACUUGCCCUCAAGUUUUGGAAUUUGUAAAGUUUUCACUUAUGAAUACUUUAAUUCCAAGUUAGCCCUUAGAAUUUUAAAAGUUAAAAUUCAACCCUUAUACUUUAUAAUAUUAUAAGUUAAUAAUAUAUAUAUGUAUAAGAGUAAAGUCAGUCUUACCGCUAGUACGCCUCAUUCACGAAGCCGGUCUAUAAGGUGGGUAUAAGGUUGUUGCCUAUAAAAUGGCAACUUAAUGGGUGUCCACUCUCACCCACCGCUUCCUUGACUGGUGGAGGGUCGUUAGCCGAACGGGUUUGACAGGACUAUAAUUCUCCCUUCAUUAAAAGUAUUAAUGAUAAAUACUAAGUAACUAAACUCUUAAUAAUACCCAAUCUUAGUUACUUAGGAAAAUGUGAAUAAGGUGCUAAUCCAUGAAAUUACACUUUGCACUUUGUUUAAGUCGGUUAGUGGAGCGUGUGUGGUUAACCGGCACACUAACUCGUAUUUAACAAGGUAGGCAAAGGGUAACUUAAUGCUUAUCAUAGUAUCGAUGGAGCGUGUGUGGUUAACCGGCACAUCGAUUGAGGGGUAAACACUUAAGGGUACCAAGUAAUUUGCAUGGUUACUUCACACCUUGUUUUGUGAUCCUCGGCAUCCCAGUCACAAAACCUGAAGGGCACACUCGAGAUUGAAACAUGCCAUUGAAAGUUCAAUGAAUCUCAAAGAUCUAGGAAUUUCAAAUCCAAUUAAAACCUAAUUAAUUAUUUCGUUUUUCAUGGUGGAAAUUGGUGAAUCGUCAUUCACCUACCUUCAAAUAUUCUAUAGCUUGGAUUACGGCAUCCCUCUUCCAAGUUAUAAAAUAGUUUGUUGGGUCCUAGCCUUAAUAUUUCAUAUUGCGUGUUAUAUUAAGGACUUUAAAUCAACUAUCUUGAAUAUCUUCAAAAAGAUGUCAAGUUCAGACAUAUAUGAUCUUCCCAAAUAUUUUGGAACUUCACUUCCUCCACCUCCUCCAAUUAUUCUCCCUAACCCACAAGUUCAAGGUCACUCAAGCCCUAUUGGCAAGGCAAGGUCUAGGUGUGAUCACAUCUUGGAGAUGAAGUCACAUAUUGACAAGCCGGGAGAGUUGGGUGUCAAAGUCUUGAGAAAGUUAGUGGUUCAAUCACUUUCUAAGACACAUAGUGAGUUCCUUUGGGACUCCUAUGAGAUAGACUAUGACAAGACCCUUAAUGAUCUUAUCUAUUUGCUUGGUUCUGCUAAAUCAGAAAUGAUUUAGUGUACUAGUAAAGCAAAUUUGAUUAGGAGAUCAACUUCCCAAAACUUUAUGGACAGGGACAAUAGUGACACAGGAAAUCCAGAAAUGCAUUCUCUUCCCAAUGGAAAGGGAUUGGCCAUAGUCAACUUGGUUGACCAAAUGGUAAAGAGAAAGGCUAAGUCUGAGAUAGUCCCAUGUACUAUUACCUAAGGAUCCAUAUAUUUCUAUUGCCAAAGGAAGGGGCUUUGGUUAUGAAGCUGCCAAACUUACCUAAGGAUGAUAAAGUCAAUAAGUUUGACUUUAUUUCAGGUAAAGUCCAUGGUCUAACUCUAUUAAGUUCCUACUUGGAGAUUCUUAUUACAUGAUGUGGCUGGGUCACAUGUU